GCUCCCUCUUCAACUGGCUUCUGCUACCGUCCUACUCUUUCUCGGCUUCGGAGUCCGUAUUUUCUCGGCCGGUCCCACGAAGCUCCCUCUCACUCCAAUUGUCGCCCCACAAGACCAAUUGCUUAAUCAAGACACCGAACAAGAAGAGGAUGAGAAGUUGAAACAAGAAUUUGAGAAUUGGAAAUAAAAAACGUACGCAUUGACCGUGCCUUUGAGAGUCGUUUCUCUUCAGAACUCAGUGCCUCAAUCUUGGGUUAAGGAUUUUAUGCGAAGUCAAGGAAAGAGAUUGAAGUUUCAGAUGAAUUUGUGCGCUAGCAUUGAUGGGAUCUUUAACAAUUUAUCUGUGCCCUUUAACAAAGUUAAGGCUAAGUCAGCUUCGUAUAUGGCUGCUGAUUUGGUUAGUGUUGGUGAUUCAUGGCUCAGUUUUGCAAUUAAAAAGAGAUUGAUUGAGCCAAUAGCUGGAGCUGAAGAUCAAGAUUGGUUCAAAUGCUUAUGUCACAAAUGGAAGGUAACAUCUUUAUCUUUGACCCGAUCAUUUUUAUUGUCUUUUUAAUUGCAAUGAGAAGAAAUGCCACUGUAGCAUGCAGUGAUGGCACUUAAUAAGUGAGUUGCUAGGAUGUGAACUAGAAAAAUUAAAUAUUGUCUCCUUGGGUAUGCUAGCUCGUAAGUUAGGGUUAAUAUCAGAGCUUAAGGUACUAUAACCGUGAGAAGCUAUUGACUGCCAAUUAAAAUAUCCAUUAAAAUGUCUAGGGAGUUAUGAAGGUGGAGGUAACUACUAAUAAAAAAUAUCCAGUUAACCUCCUGCUCGAUGCAAUUAAUAAAUUUGGUCAAUGCCACUGAAACCUGCUAACUGACAUCACAAUGCGACAUGAGCACUUCAAAAUGGGACAGACGGUCAGUAGCACUAAAUUUUUCUUGCCUAAGAUUGAGCAAUUGGUCUAACUACUAAUCCCUAUUGUAGGUUGAUCAUUAUUUUUUCAAUUAUGUUCAGUUUGACCCAAAAAGUUGCAGAAUCUUGAGCUGAAUAUUGUCACUGAACACUGUCAAUGUCGUUUAGCAUGGCCAACUAACUUGAGUUUGGUAAAACAAACACACAGUGUGUCUCAUGUCUCACAAAUCAAAUUAUCAUCUGUAAUGAUGGAGAAUUUUUCCAAUGUAUGAAGUAUGCUUUGAUACGUGGGUUACCUUGGAGAAGAUAUCUUAAAAUAAAGAAUAUGGGGAGAAAACAGUUCAGUAGUUUAUUAUUCUGUAGUCAAGUUUUGUCUCGAAAAUGGUCAAAAUUUAAAUGAACAAGGACAGGGGAUCUUCAUUCUUUUUUCCCUUUUUUAUACCAAGAUAUCUCUCAACCUUUAUAUAAUCCCCACUGGAUAUCUGCUUCUAAUAAUUAAAAUAAAAAUUUCACCGCUCUAACAAUAAAAAGUAACAUCUUUAGUCAAAUAAUUUACAGUUCCUCAUCAUCUUAGUGUGAGACUAUCAGUACAUUCCAAAAACAUAAUAAAACUGGUUUGAUCCUGUUUAUUGAUGUUUAAAUGUUGUUCAUUGUGACAUGUAGAAAUGAUGAGGCGAAGUUUAUUUGGACAUCAAUUAGUAAGAUCUUGUUUGAAGUUGUUUUCUGAAAUGAACUGCCGAAUGGUAGUUUUUUGGGGGCAUUUGAUGGCUCUUUUUUUUUCCUCAUUUUCAACAUGUGCCUGCUUGGAACAGGAAGGAUUAGACUGCAGAGUUGUUAUAUAUUUUGAGAUGCUCUGGUCAUUGCACAAUUUGUUCACACUGGAAAUUAGAAUGAGAAAUUUGUUGAUGCUGUUUUGAGAGAUCUGCAUUCUAUGCACAAUAACAUGAUUAAUGAAAAUGCAUUGUAGGACUGGAAAGAUCUGUGGCAGCCUGAGCUCGCAGGAAGAAUUUCAAUGGUUAAUUCUCCCCGACAGGUUAUUGGUUCAGUUUUGAAGUAUAGGGGAGCAUCAUACAAUUCAAACGAUAUUGAUUCGCAAGUUGCUGGUGGGAAGAUUGCUGUUCAGCAGAAUCUAGCAUUACUGGCAAACCAGGUACUCUUACAGAAAUGAUAUCUGGUCAUUGCAUGUUAUUGCCUGACAACUGAUUUUGUUUGUACAAGUCUGCUUCUUCAUACAUAUGAAUGCAUAUGUUAGUGUUUUCUUCUCCUUUUCAUACAUAUAAAUGCAUAUGUUAGUGUUGUCUUUUCCUUUUCAUACAUAUUAAUACAUAUGUUGGUGUUCUCUCCUGAGAUGGAUGCAAUAAAGGCUUUUGCUCCUAAAUUUAGCUGAAGAAAUGGCAAGGGAUGUGAGAUUCUGUUUCAUUAAAUUAACAAAAACCCAAAACAAUGAAAAUCCAUAAUAAUGUGGUGUGGGUAAAUUGGCUCCAUUUGGUUCGUUUCCUUAAUGUGAACGCGCGAGCAAUAGAGACUAACAAAAUGAAGUGACAACAAGAAGUCAGUGUCCUUUGAUGGAUGCAUUUUUAGGCAGAAAUAGGUUUGUAAUUGACCAAAUUUGUCUGGCAUGCCAAUUUAAAAAUAAAUAAAUUAUGUGGUUAUUAGCUGUAAUGAAGGGGGAUAGUAGGUGCAAUCAGGUGGAUCCUGGAAAGUUCAACAAAGUUUUGGUAUGGCGUAGUGAAAUUGGUUUGUGCAACUCAGGAGUCUUUCAGGUGAACGAUGAUAGGUUUUGAUUUAUGAAUAUUAUAAAUCUACUGUGCAUAGUAGAAUCAUCUAUAAGUUCUAGUUAUUGAAAUUGUAUACUUUGCCCGGUUUGAGUUAAGGGCACAUGUAAUAUGAAAGAUAGUUGUCGCAUCUUUUAGGUUACCUAACAUUUGAUCAAUCCUAUUAUGGGGGCUUCAAGAUGUCUAACAAUAUGUAGAAUGCCCGUGCUCCUCCCCAUUGUUUAUCUUAUACAAUAAUUUGUUUUAGAUGCUAAUAUCUUUGUCGAUACCGGUAACAAUAUUACAAUAUCUGCGUUUAUUGGGUUUUACAUAGGUUCGACUGUUUGACAGUACACACUAUCUGAAGGCAUUUGCAAUUGGAGAUGUAUGGGUUGCUGUUGGGUGGAGUAGUGAUGUUCUUCCUGCUGUCAAACGUAUGUCUAAUGUUGCUGUUGUUGUUCCCAAGUCUGGUGCUAGCUGCCUGCCAUUCUACUUCGAUAUUCACAUUGUUAUCUCCUUCAUAUUAGCGAUCAGUAAACACGAUAAUGUGACUAAUAAGUUUGUAUUCUCUUUAUAGGCAAUCCCUGCUGCCUCAAGACUUGAAACAAAACAAAUUGGAGGGCGAGUCAGAGGUCCAUCUCCAUUAAUCCAUCAAUGGAUAGAAUUCUGCUUGCAAACAGCGAGAGCAUUGCCUUUCAAGCAAGAGGUUAUCCCGGGUGCAUCUCCCUCUGCCCUUGAAAGUACUCUGGUUAAGUUGCCUGAAGAACUUCUGAAGGGUAAACCAAGUCUGGAUACUAACUUAAUUGCUGGAGUACUCCCGGCUGAAAUUCUGGCCAGAUGUGAGUUUUUGGAGCCAUUAUCUGAAGCUACUUGGUCAUAUUAUGAGUGGCUGGUUGUUAAUCUGCAAAAAGCUGCUCCUGUCUUGAUGAAAAGGGUGCAACAUUACUUGUCAUCAUUAAUCCAAAGCUUUCUAGCAAGAGCUACAUUGAAAAGUUAAUGGCGCUGCAUGCCAAUCAUUAUAAUGCUGUCAGGGCAAUUGGGUCAGGGCAAUUAGGUCAGAGCAUAACUUCAUUAGGAAAAGAGGCUUCAGCUACGUUAAAUAUUACAGGAUGUACUGAGAUGGCUGAAGUCGUUGAGGUUUUACGAGAAACGAAAGAUGAGUGUUUGUUUGAACAAAGUUGUUACUGCAGCGAUUUUGAAUAUGUGCAAGAUGUUGUCCACUGCUCUUUGGGUUAUGGUGUGACUUUCGAUUUCAAGGUUGCCCUGAAACAACGGAAAAGAUUUACAUACCCUCCAAGGAAUGACAACGGCUGGACUAAUUCUGAUCACCUAAUUGACUCAGGAUCGGCUGGCAAUAAUAACAGUUUGUUAACAAUGCACAGUCCCGAGUACUUUUCCAGGAUCAGAUACGACGUGGUCUAAUGUUGAUAAUAAUAGUUUAUUAAAUGACAAAUCGUUGUCCUUGGGUGUUGAUUUCAGAAAUAAAAUACAUUCUGAGGGAUGCUGGUCUACUAUUGCAAGCCCCCAGAGUUAAGAAUCUUUUGAUUGGGGCAUUUGGCAACGAUUCGACAAAUUCUAUUUUCAGCCUCGUCCACCAAGGGAUUCCAACUGAGUUAUCAAUUAUCGUAGCAGUUCUAUUAACUAAAAUUAGCAAAUAUAGCACCAGAAAAAGAACAACAAAUACGCAGUGAAGUUGAAUUGAAAAUGAAGUUGCCGUUGCCGCCCAUAGCGGCUGACUAAUAAUAAAACGAGACAAAUUAAUUAAACUAUUUAUGGUAUGCAAAAACAAACAAAAACCCGUAAAAAAUUUCAAAAAAUUAUUAAUCACACUCUAAACUUACCACUCAACUCUUAAUAAUAGUCAUAAUUUAAAACAAUUUACAACUUUUGAAAACAUUUUCAAAGUUGCCUUUGCCCAAGAGUGGAUUGCCAUGAGGAAAAUCAUUUUCUCAGUGGAUUGCCAUUGCCCAGGAGUUGCAAUGAAAACAGACCACCAACUGUGCCGGAAGAUUCAACUAGCACUGAAAAAGAUGAUAAUGGAUAGUGUCCAUAUAAUUUUUAAAUCAUCUUAUGUAAUUGUGAUGUCAGGAAGCAUUAAUGUUCUAUAUGUGAACUCUUAUUGGCAACAUUGGUGGUUUUAUCCUGUUAAAAUGUGGAUGACUUCCGGUUACUAUUUUGUCGUACACAAUUUUAUUCAAUUAACAUAUAGUUUAAAACCAUUAUGCAUGUAUGUGCUUUAUUAAGAUUCUCAAGUACCAAUCACGUUUGCUUAAGAAAUAAAAUUUUGCCAUUAAAAGUGUAGUAAUAUUUCCAAGCGCCUCGCAUUUAUCUCAAUAUUUUGAAGGAAUUUCGAGAAAUACACGUGUCCAAAAGUCUAGUCAUCAUCCUUACUAUUGGGGUAUUGGUAUUGAAAAGCCCUACGCUAAAUGCAGUUUGUAAGAGGAUGGAGAUAUUUACUGUCGCAAUAUUAUGGAAUAUGCACAAGGAGUUUUUCUAUUGUUCUUUUGAUGUUGCAGCUGUUGGUGCUUUCAAUGUUUCCCUGAAACAUAGCGAAAGAACGCACAUAUUCUUCGUAUGAGUUGAUUUUUAGUGAUUAUCUAAUUGACUGAGGUGACAACAACAGAACGCACAACGUGGAAUUCAAUAAUAAAAUUCUUCCGUUCAAUUUGUUUUUAAGUUAAAUUAUUAAUUACUUAAAACUCUGUUUUUUUAAGUCUUUAAUUUUAUGUGUUGGCGUAUAUGCAAAGUUGGAUUCUUAAGUGAGUUGGACAUGACCUACAAUGAGAGUGACAGUAAACAAACAUUAAAACGUGUGGACUCCGGUAGCUGCCCUACAAGUCUACAAUAAUAAUUUCUAGCCCCGUUGACUCCACCAACUAAAGUUUUUUAAAAUUUAGAAAAGUACAUCGAAUUACACAACAAGCAAAACGCGUGGAAUUUAAUUUUUUGCGAAUAAAAUAUAAUUUAACGAAAAACAACAAGAAAAAUGGUAAGAUUUCUAAAAUGAAUGGAAGUUGAUCCAUAUUUUAGUCAGGGUGCGUUUGAGAUUAAGGUUCUGUAGCUAUAAUUUAAAAGUUGUAGUAUUAAAAUGUUUGGUAAACACUAAUUAUUGUAACUUAAAAGUUAAGUUAAUAUAAUUUUUUAUUUAUAUGAUGAAAAAUUUAUUAUAUCUUUAUUAAUUUUGUCAAAAUUAUUAUUUAAAAUUUACUCAUUUUUGUUUCAUAGUUACAACAUUUUUCCCACAACAACUGUAGCUUAAAAACUAUAGCAUCUCAAUCCCAAACGCACCCUCAAACAACUUGCCUCCAACAUUAAGAUGAUUGAUUUUUUUUAUUUUUUUAAUAAUAUCAACUUCCAUAUCUUUCCAGAAUAUGCUCACGUUCAAGUCUAUCUUGCUAAUUUGAAAAAGAAAAUCAAAUCAAAUCAACACCAAAACAAUGAAAAGUAAAGCUUUUGAAUUUCAAUCCAGCUAGCUAACAUAUUCAGCGUUUUCAAUUUCUUCCCAUUGCAUAUCUUCUUCCUCCAUCAAUGCAAUAUUUGAACGAUAGGAAAGAGUUUAAGAACAUAAAAAAUCUCCUAGGUUUAUAAGGCAUAACAAAUUUAAAUUCUCAAUUUUAAUAGAUAAUAAUUAAACUAAUAAUUAUUUAUAUACUUAUUUUAGUAAUUUCACCUAAGAAUAAUAUUGUAAUUAGAAAAAAUCUAAUAAGUGGGGCGGUUUUAUACAAAAUCAACUGCAUACAUAUAUGCAGAUGCAAAUAAUAAUUUUUUUUUUUUAAUAAGCAAAUUGUAUAUUGAGAGGAAUAAGAUGUUUAAUUUAAUUAAUUUCCUUACUUUCAAGUUUCAUAUACAUUGCCUUUCUAUCUAAAGAAAGGUUGGUGUUCAGAAUGACAUGAAGUUGCGAGUUGCUGCCCAUGGCUACAGAUUAAUAAUAAAACGAGACAAAUUAAUUAAACUCAGGCCUUUAUGUAUAUGUUAUCCUAACUUUAAUCGCUCUUGUUUGUUAAUAUUCAUUCUUAGGGAGGUGAAAAAAUUACAAGUCUUGAAUAACAAGGAGGAGUUUAAUUGCCUCUAACUUUACUUGGCUUUCUUUAAUCUCAUUAAUAAUCAAUCUCCCUGCAAUUUCGUAAGCCAAGCGCAAAAUCAUACAGAGAAUUAAUUAUCUUUUUAUUAUUAAACCAUCUUCAAGAAGAUUUUCGUCAAUUUGCCCCAGAGUGGUUGGAGCUGUGUUUCUGAUAAGCCAAAGAAUUAGUAGCAAUUAGUAUUAAUAUUGUCCACCCAAGAAAUAUGAGUGAAUUAAAGUAUUAGCAAGACUUCAUUGAGAGGAGCCAUCUAUUAACUAAAAUGCGAAUUUAAUACAAGAAGAAAUAGUAUGUACAUACUUGGCAAUUGAGUUCGUUAAGAAGUGGCAUCGCAUUCUGGUGAUGAGUUUACUUUUGUUAAUAAUUUUAGUCUAAUUACAAUCGUACUUUGACCACUACUCAAGCUAAGUGAAAGUUACGGAUGUGGCAAAAUAAAUAAUUAAAUUAACAAAAUGCUAACUAAUUUUCCUGACUAAAUAGAGUUGCACAAUUUCACUAAUUUGGAACAAUUGACAUUAAUGGACUAGUUUUCACCCCAUAUAAUUAAAAUCCUUCUGGAAAGCUAAUUUUUAUUAAGUAUUUGCUUUUAAGUUAAUUUCAAUUAAAAAAAAGGUUUUAAGCUAUAUGUAGUCUAAUGAGAUUUUCUUCGGAACUUUUUUUUUUUGUUUAUUUUUAAUUUCAAGUUACCUUAAUUUUAAGAAUUUGGAACAUUGAUUUGGUCAUGGAUUAAUUUCAACUAGUAACUGUCAUAUUCUAAACUUAAUGGUAUCAUUCUUGAUCAAGGGCAAUGACUCUUAACUCCUCUUAUAAAAAAAAAUAUUUUCGACUAUUUUGAUGACAAACCUCUCUAACAGAUAGUAGUCUUUAAAACUGAUAGAUUUGGCCAAAUUAUUCAUUUUAACGAAAUAUAAUUUAUGCAUCAAAAUUAUCAGGCAUAUGUCCAAUGCAGCACUUUUUUUUCCCUUAAAAAAAAUGAAAUUAUCGGUUAUGCCCCUGAGGCAUUUUCUAGAGUAUAGGUUCUGCUUACCUCUAUUUCUCUUGUAACUUUCUUUUUCAUUUUUUUAAUGAAGUUAAUUAAUAAAAGAACAAGGGAAGGUUUUUCAAUCAUGAUUUUCCAAGUCAUGCAUUAUUUGACUACCGAUCAAUCAAGAAACCGACCAAAUUAAUUUCUCUCCAUGAUUUCCAAAAGCUAGAAAAUUUUAUUAUUUGAAAACAACAUCGUUAAUUAUAGAGUGAAUCAAACCGCAUUAUCGUCUCUCAUGAAACUGAUGUGAGUCAUACUUUUUAAUUACGCAAACCAGUCAACUUGAACUUUCUUAUUUUUAUUAUUAUUAUACCAUUCAUUUCAAUCCCCGAUUAUUUGACCAGCAACUAUCAAGACACCGACCAAAUUUAUUUCUCCAUGACUUCCAAAAACUACAAAAUAACAUCAUUAAUUGGAGUUGAUCAAACCACAGUAUUAUUGUCAUGUAUUAUUGUGUAAAAAGUAACUCAUGAACAAUGAUGCAGAAUCGCAUGAAUAGAUCUCUGCGAACAGAGAUUUCAGAGUUAGUUAAUUAGGUUAAUUAAUUUUCAAAGGUUUUAGUUUUCCUAUACUUACUAAAAUAGAUAUAAAUUUUUAACAAAUCACUUCCAAAUCUCAACAUCACUUGAACGAUUCUUAAAGUAAAUUGUUAAUUAAUUUCCCUGACGUAUACAGCUAAAGUUGUUGCUCCUCCUAAUUAAAUAAAGUCGCAUAAUUUCACCAACUUGGAAGAAUUGACAUUAAUGGACUGGUCCCCUCUCUAGAUGUAAAGUCUUCUUAAAAGAUAAUUUUAUUGCCUGUUUGCUUUUAAGUUAAUUUAUAUUUCGAAAAAAAUGUUUAAGUUACAUAUAUGACGGAGGGAGUCUUUUAAGGACAAUUCCCUUCUUCAAAUAAUAAUGAAAAAGGGGUAAUUUAAAAAUAAAAUAAAUAAGUGUUGAUUAUAUCUUGAAUUUCAUCGAUUAUGUGAUCAAAGUGAUAAUUUUGAUUUAUUUUUUGUUCAAUUUUAAUUUUUAGGUUAUCUUAAUUUGAAGAAUUUAGAAUAUUCGGUCAUAAAUUACGCACAUGUAAAUUUUUCUGCCAUUGACUAUAAUAUUUUAGACUUAAUGGUACCUUUCUUGAUGAAGGGUAAUGAGUCUAUAUUCUCCUCUUAUAAAAACUAUAUUAGUUGAUUCUUGUUAUGGUUAAUAGUCUUUAAGAAUGGAUAGAUUUAUUGACUUCAUAACCAAAUUAUGCCUGCCUAGGGCUGCGACUAUUAAUAAAAUUAAUAUUUAAUGUUUAUGUUAACAGAUUUAAGAUUUUAUGCGUUCAUUAAUUGUUAUUAGCUAAAGGAUGAAUUAUAUUUUCAAGCCAAUCAGUUGAUGCAGCUGCAAGAGUUUUUUUUGUUUUACUGACCAUAAUUUUCUCCCAGGUAAAUCUUCUCAUCAGCCCUCAUUUAUCUUUUAUAAAUUGAAGAUCUCACAUUUUCAAACUAUCACUUCCAAACUUCAGUAUCACUUGAGCCAUUCUUGAACCAUUCAAAACUGAACAAGCUUGGAAAUAACCAAAUAUAUGCAAAAAUCGAAUCACAUUCUUUGGCCCCUCAAAAUUCUAAUUAUAUAACUUCUAUAUAUCUCAUUGUCUGGUCACGAAGAUGGUGGCACAUUAAACUUCUCUUCCAUCAACAUCAUUAGGAAUAUGUUCAUCUCUCACACAUUAACUUGAGUGGAGAGUUUCCAAAUUGAUUGUUAGAAAACAAUGCAAAAGCUAGGCACACUUGAUCUGUCUAAUAAUUCUCUUUCGGUAAAAUUAAUUAAUUUUAGGGGUAUAUUCGGCCAAUCUAUAUAAUUUCAGAUUGAUCAUUAAUUAAUUAGACGAUACAAAUUGCUAAAGUGAUUUGAUUUUUGCUGACAAUACAACUAUACAAGUUCAUGACUUGAAAUUUGAUCUCUAUCGAUUGGUUUACAAAUGGACGUACCUGUGCCUUGUGAUGAUAAUUGAACCAGAGAUGUAAAGCUAUAAGGAUUUGACAGCACUAAAUUGUUACAAAGACAUAAAAACAAGUUCCCAUUAUUAUUACUUUUGGCAAAUGUGUGUAAUUUAAUUUUUGACUAUGUGGACCAAAAUGCAAAUGAAAGAAAAAAAAAAACCAAAGAUGUGGAAGUCUUUGGGCUUUUCUUAUAAUUGUGGGUUUUUCAAAGGGAAAAAAUGAGGACACUUCUAAUGUUUGUUUUGAUAAUUACACAUAUACUGUUUAAUUUUAUAUAUGGGCAUAUAAAUCUUUUUUACAAAUAUAUAUUAUUCAUUUUCUGUAUUAUUUUUUAACAUCAUAUUUUUAUUUAUUAUAAAUAUUUAAAGCUAGUUUUUAGGUUGAUAUUUAAUAAAAGGGUAUAAUCGUUCUUUUACUAAACACACACGCUCCUAGUUCCUAUCCAUUUGUCAUCUCAAUCUCUCUCAAUUAUCCUUUAUUGAUAGCUCAAAACGCGUCAUUGUGGAAAAUUAUAGCAAAACAACAAAUAUGGAAAGAAUGGGAAGAAAAUUAACGCGUGAAAGACUUGGAGAAGACAACCAAAUAAGUCAACUAUAAGCAAGCUGGGUGUAUAAAUUGUUAGAUGUGUUAUAAACAAAUAGCGUAGAGCCCUCUAGUUGGUUACAGAGACAGAAAGAGUAUGUGUAUUUUUUAGAACUUAAAGAUAUAGUUAGAAUGGGUGAUUCAAAAUCAAAAACGGUGAUAAUGUUUGUUCUGUUAUUAAUAAUAUUUGGAGGUGGGUGGAGUGAGGGAUGUUUGGAUCAUGAGAGAUUUGCUCUUUUACGACUAAAACAUUUCUUCACUGAUCCUUAUGAUAAGGGAGCUACUGAUUGUUGUCAGUGGGAAGGGGUUGAGUGCAGCAACACCACAGGGCGAGUGAUAGGACUAUACCUUUCUGAAACGUAUUCGGGAGAGUACUGGUAUCUGAAUGCUUCUUUAUUUACUCCCUUUCAACAACUUGAGUCACUUGAUUUAAGUUGGAACAAUAUAGCCGGUUGUGCUGAGAAUGAAGGUGCUUCGUUUAAUUUAAUUAAUUUACUUCCUCCCUCCUAAUUUAAGUUGAAUAUCAAGAUCGAGCAAUUAUAUGCAUAUUCAUUCAGUUGACAAUUUUGACAAUUUUUUUUAAAUGAUUAAUUUUGAAAUUAGACCAACAACCAUGAUCUGUUUUCAUUUUACUUGCAGGUCUAGAGGGGCUGUCAAGAUUGAACAACCUAAAGAUGCUUGAUUUAAGUGGGAACGCAUUCAACAAUAACGUCUUAUCAUCUCUAGCUCGUCUUUCAUCAUUAAGAUCAUUAUAUUUAUCUGACAAUAGAUUGGAAGGAAGUAUUGAUGUUAAAGGUACAAAAUUAAAACUUCAUCUCUUCUCCGAACACUUCCAUUAACUUGCUAAAUUAAGAUUUAAGGCUUUGAAUUCAAUUUUUUUACGAGUAGUAUUGAAAAAAAAUGGUUAUAAACAAUUCAAAAAUAAAUGUCCACUGUUUCUCAUAAUUUUAUGUUGAACUUUCGUAUGUCUUAACUUUAGGGUUAAAACAAAAUUACUCUAAUUGCCAACCAAACACUCAUAGCUAAUUUAUCUUUUUUUUUAAUUAUUUAAAAGUGAUGAAAUUUAUCUUAUUUUUCGUGAGGUUUGAAACAUUCAACUCAAUUUGUACUCUUUACAGAAUUAGAUUCUUUGAGAGAUUUAGAGGAGCUAGACAUCGGCGGGAACAAGAUUGACAAAUUUAUGGUCUCAAAAGGUACUACAAAUACCAUAAAAAAUGUAAACUUUUACAAAUUAGCUAAAUUGUUUGCCAUUUGGUUAUUAUUUUGCAGGUUUAAGUAAGUUGAAGUCUCUCGGUUUAAGUGGUACGGGAUUCAAAGGGACAUUCGAUGUUCGAGGUAAGACUAAGCCACUUUCUCAUUUUAUAUAUGCCAGCUAGACUUGUGUAUCAUCGACAUAAUUUAAUAUUUAAUUUGAUUAGUCUGAAGGAAUUACAUACUAAUUAAACAUACUUUUAUAUACUCUGUCGAUCAAUUAAUUAAAUGCUAUUUGGUUUGGUUUAGACGAAAUUCUUAUGACAUUUUAAUUUCUUUCAAUUUAUUAAUUAAUUUACUCUGUUUUAAGUCUUAAGUCUGGGUAUGUUUGCAGAAUUCGAUUCCUUCAACAACUUAGAAGUGUUGGACAUGAGCGGCAAUGAAAUCGACAAUCUUGUGGUUCCUCAAGGUAAACAAUUAAAAUAUUAUUCAAUUACAUUAAUUUAAUUCAUUGAUUAGGCAGGCCCAAAAGCUACAAAAAUAAUAGUAAUAAUAAUAAAGAAACAAAGAGUUUAUAAUAAUAAUAAUAAUAAUAAGCUGUUAAUUAAUUAAUUUCGCUGCUACUUCCUUCUAAACAGAGUUGCACAAUUUCACCAUCUUGAAUAUUUGAGAUUGGACUCUUCCUCUCUCCAUAUAAGCCUUCGGCGAUUGCUUGAAGAAUUUGUUUAUUUAUUAUUAAAAUGUUUAAUUUUGAAAUUACCCCAAACACAUGUGAUCUCUGUUUUGAUUUUACUUACAGGUCUAGAGAGGCUAUCAAGAUUGAGCAAGUUGAAGAAGCUUGACUUAAGAGGAAACUUGUGCAAUAAUAGCAUCUUAUCAUCUGUAGCUCGUCUUUCAUCAUUAACGUCAUUACAUUUGUCUCAUAAUAUAUUGCAAGGAAGUAUUGAUGCUAAAGGUACAUAAUUAAAACUUCAUCUCUUCUCCCAACUCUUUCAUUAACAUGCUAAUAUAAGAUUGAAGGCUUUGAAUUCAAUUUUUUUAUGAGCAAUAUUAGAAAAAUAGUUUAAGCAAUUCAUAAAUACAAUUUUCAAUGUUUCUCAUAAUUCCAUCUUGUACUUUCGUAUGUCUCGACUUUAAAAAAAAAAUUACUCUGACUGUGAAGCAAAUACCCCAUGACUAAUUCAUCAUUUUUUCCAGUUAAAAUUGAUAAAAUUUAUCACUCGUUUUUAUUGAUUAAUUAACUCUGUUUUGAGUCUUAAGUCUUGGCGUCUUGGCAUGUUUGCAGAAUUUGAUUCCCUGAGCAAUUUAGAAGAGUUGGACAUCAACGACAACGAAAUAGACAAUGUUGAGGUUUCUCGAGGUAAACAAUUGAAAUAUUAAUUCAAUUACAUUAAUUUAAUUCAUUUGAUUAGGAAAGGCCCAAAAAGUACAAAAACAUUUAAAAAAAUAGAGAAACAGAGAAUUUAUAUUAUUUAAAAAACAGAACGUAACACUAUUAUUUCAAAAAUAGAGUGUAACAAAGAUUCGAUUCCAGUUCUUUUGAUAUUUACAUCAAUUGAAAAACGAUGUUGCUCUUUUUCCAAAGCAUAAAAUACGAAUUGACUCCCAAUUAAACUAAUCAUUUAUUUCGUUUAUCUCUAAAUUUAAACAAUGAAUUUUGAUCUUCAAUCCUAUCCUAAUUACUGUUAAAAAACAGGUUACAGAGGCUUGAGGAAGUUGAAAAGCCUUGAUCUAUCGGGAGUUGGAAUUAGAGAUGGAAACAAGUUGUUACAAUCAAUGGGAUCAUUCCCAUCCCUCAACACUCUUCACUUGGAGUCUAAUAAUUUUACCGCUACACUGACAACUACUCAAGGUAAGUAAAAGGUACAUAUGUAGCCAAUUUUAUAAAUAAAUUGUUAAUUAAUUAAGUAAUUUUCCAUAUUAUUAAUAAAGCUAAAUUCGUUUUUCUUCCUUAUAAUUCUAAACAGAGUUGCACAAUUUCACCAACUUGGAAUAUUUGACAUUGGACGAUUCCUCUCUCCAUAUAAGCCUUCUGCAAAGCAUUGCAUCAUUAUUCCCUUCGUUAAAAAAUCUGUCGAUGUCUGGUUGUGAAGUCAAUGGCGUCCUAAGCGGUCAAGGUAAAAGAAAAGUGUUGAUUGUGAACUCACUCAAUGGUGUCCUACGUGUUCAAAAUUUUUAUUUAUUAAUUUAUUUAUUGUUUAAUGUUUCUGCUAGGUUUUCCUCAUUUCAAGAGUUUGGAACAUUUGGACAUGAGGUUCGCGCGCAUUGCACUCAACACUAGCUUUCUUCAAAUCAUCGGUGAAUCGAUGCCUUCUCUUAAGUACUUAUCACUGUCAGGUUCUACUCUUGGCACUAACAGCAGCAGGAUUCUUGAUCAAGGUUAAUCAGAUGCUCCCACCCUCCCUUCUUAAUCUAUAAUAUUAAUUUUCAAUUAAAUAUUUAAUUACACAAACCAAUCACUUCUAUAUGAAAGAAUACUCUGCAUUUGUUAAUUUUUAUGUUGUAGUGAUGGAUGCAUUAAUAAAUUUUCAGGCCUCUGCCCAUUGGCGCAUCUGCAAGAGUUGUACAUUGAUAAUAAUGAUUUAAGAGGUAGCUUGCCUUGGUGCUUGGCAAAUACGACAUCCCUCCGAAUAUUAGAUGUUUCUUUUAACCAACUUACUGGAAGCAUCUCUUCAUCCCCCCUCGUUCAUUUGACAUCCAUUGAAGAGCUGAGGCUUUCAAACAAUCAUUUCCGGAUCCCAGUUUCACUUGAACCACUUUUCAAUCACUCAAAACUCAAGAUUUUCGAUGCGAAAAAUAACGAAAUAAAUGGAGAAAUAAAUGAGUCACAUUCUUUGACCCCAAAAUUCCAGUUAAAAUCUCUCUCAUUGUCCUCCAAUUACGGGGAUAGUGUCACAUUCCCCAAAUUCCUUUACCAUCAACAUGAACUGAAGGAAGCUGAACUCUCACACAUUAAGAUGAUUGGAGAAUUUCCAAAUUGGUUGUUGGAAAACAACACAAAAUUAGAAUUUCUUUACCUCGUGAAUGAUUCUCUUGCAGGACCUUUCCGCUUGCCAAUUCAUUCACAUAAGCGGUUAAGAUUCUUAGAUGUCUCCAACAACAACUUCCAAGGCCACAUUCCAGUAGAAAUUGGAGAUAUUUUACCAAGUUUAGUUUAUUUCAACAUUUCCAUGAAUGCUUUGGAUGGUAGCAUUCCCUCCUCAUUUGGCAACGUAAUCUUCCUCCAAUUUCUGGACUUAUCCAAUAAUAAAUUGACUGGUGAAAUCCCUGAUCACUUGGCCAUGUGUUGCGUCAACUUGGAGUUUCUUUCGCUAUCAAACAACAGCCUAAAAGGUCACAUCUUCUCCAGAAUUUUUAGCUUGAGAAACUUGAGAUGGUUACUAUUGGAGGGCAAUCACUUCGUAGGAGAGAUCCCACAAAGUUUGUCUAAAUGCUCCUCAUUAAAAGGAUUGUAUCUUAAUAAUAACAAUCUCUCGGGCAAGAUUCCACGAUGGUUGGGUAAUCUCAAAGGGUUACAACAUAUUGUAAUGCCCAAGAAUCAUCUUGAAGGUCCUAUUCCAGUGGAGUUUUGUCGGCUUGAUUCGCUUCAGAUUUUGGACAUUUCAGACAACAACAUAUCUGGAAGUUUACCAUCUUGUUUCUAUCCUCUUUCUAUCAAACAAGUUCACCUAUCGAAAAAUAUGUUACAUGGACAACUAAAAGAAGGUACAUUUUUUAAUUGCUCUUCCCUUGUGACGUUAGAUCUUAGCUAUAACUACUUGAACGGGAGCAUUCCAGAUUGGAUUGAUGGGCUUUCUCAGUUAAGCCACCUUAACUUGGCUCACAAUAACCUUGAAGGUGAAGUGCCAAUUCAAUUGUGCAGAUUAAACCAACUGCAAUUGUUAGAUCUUUCUGAUAAUAAUCUUCACGGUCUUAUUCCUUCUUGCUUUGAUAACACCACACUUCAUGAAAGUUACAACAAUAAUUCUAGUCCUGACAAGCCAUUUAAAACAUCUUUUUCCAUCAGUGGUCCUCAGGGAAGUGUAGAAAAGAAAAUCCUUGAAAUUUUUGAAUUCACAACAAAGAACAUUGCCUACGCUUACCAAGGAAGAGUGCUUAGCCUCCUAUCAGGACUUGAUCUUUCUUGUAAUAAGCUAGUUGGUCAUAUUCCUCCUCAAAUUGGAAAUUUGACCAGGAUUCAAACAUUGAAUCUAUCACACAACAACUUGACAGGAACAAUCCCUUUAACUUUUUCAAACUUGAGGCAUAUCGAAAGUUUGGAUCUUUCCUAUAACAAAUUGAGUGGGAAAAUCCCUCGUCAACUUGUGGAUUUAAAUACAUUAGCUAUUUUUAUUGUGGCAUACAAUAACUUAUCAGGCAAGAUCCCAGAAUGGACUGCACAAUUUGCAACCUUCAACAAGAGUAGCUAUGAUGGAAAUCCUUUUCUUUGUGGACUACCAUUGCCUAUCUGCAGAUCACUAGCAACUAUGUCGGAGGCUUCAACUAGCAAUGAAGGGGAUGAUAAUUUAAUUGACAUGGACAGUUUCUUUAUCACAUUUACAAUAUCAUACGUAAUUGUGAUAUUCGGAAUCGUUGUUGUUCUAUAUGUGAAUCCUUAUUGGCGACGUAGGUGGCUUUAUCUUGUUGAAAUGUGGAUAACGUCUUGUUACUAUUUUGUCAUAGACAAUCUUAUUCCAACAAGAUUUUGUCAUUGAAAUUAAUAUGUAGUUUAAUUAAGAUCCUUUAAGUUCUAAACAAGUUUGCUUAAGAAAUAAUUUAUUUUUUAAGUACUAAUCAAGUUUGGUUAAGAAAUAAUUUUUUUUUUAUAUUGAAAUUGUAGUAGUAUUGAGCACUAUAUAGCUUCCAACUUCCAAGAACCUAGCAUGUCUCCACACUUAGAAAGCUGGGUGAUUAUGCUUUGCAGAUCUAGAUUUGAAGUAGGAUGGUCCCAAACCCAUAUCUAUGUAUUGUAGCUUACCUAUGAUGUCCAACAUACUUAAACGAGAGCACCAUCUCUAAUGUUAAUAAUAGCCGCUAUAUAGGAUCCUUUUGGAAACUAUAUUCAGAAUCGUUUUAUAAUCAUACAUAGGAAAUGAAAAAUCUUACUGCAAUUGGUUGCCUAUUUUACUCUGAACAAGAACGAUUAUGGCGUUAACAUCAUCUUCUUCACUAGUAGCAUUAACAUCAAACCACGGGAUAGACCCAGACAUUUCAUCAAGAAAGGCAUACAUCUAAUAAAGUUGAAGCUUUGACAAAAAAUUCAAUGGAAGGUCAAUGUCUCGCCACAACAAAGGGCACAACAACAUCAUUCUAGAAGAGAUGAAGCAAUAUUCUCAAAGCUAAAGCUCUCAAAUACACCACACAAUAAUUUCAUAUCUCCUCAUCGAUUUCAAAAACUAAAGAUAAUUAGGAUUUAACAUUGGUUUGUUAUAUAUUAGUUUCAUAAUUUAAAAGCCAAUGAAGAUGAAGAUUAUGCCAAUGAAUUCAAAUUAUACCAUACAUUCUCCGGAUAUCACAAAAAAUUUACAAGUCAAUCCCACAUAUUUCAUAACUUAAAGACUGGAAAGUUUCAUUAGUUAGAAGUUUCAUUACCUUUAAGUAGAAGAUGAAGAAGAACAUUAUGCAAGUGAUUAAGAUUAUAUUAUACAUUCUCCGAAUGCAACUAGAAAUUAACAAGUUCAUGCCACAUAUUCGAUAACAUUAUGAUUGAAAAGCUUGAUAAGGACUUGAGAAAUUCUGAAUUCAACCUUCUGCACUAAGGUUAUUUGAUUGAUUUGAGCUACUUUGUGAUUAAGCUACUAGUACAACAUUUAAUUCAGGGAGGAAAUAAAUUAAAAUUUGGUAGAAAUAGUAAUAAAAAUUUGUUGCUAAACAUGAUGUGCAGUUUUUUUUCUUAAGGCAAUUUGGAAACACAGUUGUUAGUAAAUAUAUUCUCCUCAACUUGGAGAUAAAUACAUAUAUGAAAAUGCCUACGAUCAGAUAAAUACAGAUAUGAAAAUGCAUAUUGUUUGGAAUUUAGAUCUAUUAGAAAUAGAUGUAGGUAAUUAAAAAUUAAAAAUUAAAAAUUAACAGCUUAAUUAUUUCCGGAAGUACUGUUCACUGUUACUGUUCAUGAAUACUGUUCAUCCGCAUAAAAAAUAUUAAUUUUCCAAAAACAUAAUAAAAUGCAGAAAAUAAAUGACACGGAGAUUUUUACGUGGUUCAGAUUAACCAAUCCUACAUCCAUGAGGCCACGCCUAGAUAAAAAGCAAUUCACUAAGUUGAGAUGUUACAACCUAUGGAUUUACCAAACUUAAUACUCUCACUUACAGUUUAUCACCAUACAGUUUACUCAACCUUAGACUAAAUCUGCUUCUCUUGAAUAAUCGCUACCCCUCUUGAUCCACGAUCCUUAAGGCACUUCGCAAAGUGAUCAAUAGCAAUUCUUCAAUUCUUCAAAGUCUAGUGAUCCAAGAUCCACAUAGACUCUCCGCAGAGAUGAACAGAAGAUAAGAAAACAAAUCAACAUAACAUGAUGCGCCAAAUCCAGAUUCUCUGGGGAGGACGCCGAAUUUUGCUUCUGUGCUUUAUGCUCUGUGUUGUGCCAUCUUCAAUUGUGAAAUACCUCUCUUUAUAUAGGCACUAGGAUUUCACCAAAAUAGCAAGUCUUAAAAGACUUGGAUUCUUUCCAAAUAAGAGUUUCUUUCCUCUUAUAAUUCCCAUGAAUUUGAAUAGGAAUAAAUCUGAUCUUCUUGCCUUGCUUGUCUCCCAAGAAAUAUCUAGAGCAUUUAAUGACUUCCUGUUUGAACCAACUUUUAGCUCUAAAUAAAUCUCAUGCGCCAAUUAUAGAAUCCCACCAUUAAUUGACUUGCUAAAAUAGACAUCUAAUUAAAUUAGGAAACAAAUAUUCCUAAUAAAUUGGAAUCUCACUAAAUUAGGGAAUUAAUAAAUUAAUCCCUAUUACAAGAUAUGCAAUAAAUAAACUUCUAAUUUAAUUAGACUUGCCAUAAAAUAUCAACUCUAUAAAUAAUGACCUUAACACAUAUGAUCACACAUAUUACUUGCAACUUAGCAAGAUUUAAUUAAGGGGAGCAAUCAAACCACUUAUCAGUUGUCGUAGUUGUUCUAUAAUCUAAAAUGGCAAUAUAACACAAGAAAAAGAUAACAUAUAGAUACUUGGCAAGGGUUCAUUAAGAAGUCGCAUCACAUUCGGGUGAUGAGUUUGCUUCUGAUAUCUUGCUAGCUGCGGCUUUCUCCUGUCUUUCUACUCAUGCUGAGGGAAACCAACAAGCCUUGCCUUUGCAUUCACCUUCCGACCAUCUAGGAGGAGCCACCUUGAGAAUUUAUAGCCAAAAAGGGUGAAUAAAACAGAAGUUGACCAUUCAAAGACUUGAGGUGAAAUAAUUGAAGCAAAAUAGGAUAAUUCUUUGACUUAGAAAGAGUGAAUUAGUUGUAAUUACUCAAAUAACUGCAUUAACCAUGGAAGUUUAACAAGAUAUAAAUUCACGUGAAAUUCUUAAAUGAAAAUAUAAGAUUAGGGCUCCUCAAUUUGCUUUUAAAUCAGCUAGACAGCUAAGAGUGUUUUGUAGGUGAAAGUAGUUUGUAUAAGCAUAUAUUUAAUUUUUUAGCAAUUCAGUAAGAGUUAAAUCCUUCUUAAUCAUCAAAAUAUGCAGAUUUAUUGCGCCCCUUUGAACAAAGAAUAUAGCAAUUUCAUUAGGAUUUAUUGUCAAAUUAGGCAAUGCACAACAAAGAUUUUUUUAAAAACAAAUCACCUAUUAAAAGAACACACAUAUAAAGUAUCCACAAAAUUACUCCAUUCUACAACGAAUUAUAAAUUGCUCUCUCACUUGUAUUUUCUCUCUCUUCCAUCAAUCCGUUUAUCUUAUCAAUACAAGAAAAAAAAGAAUACUUGACAUUUUUUAUUUGACAAUUUUUAAGAAAUAUCAAAUAUAUAUGACAUUUUGUGAAAAAUUGAGUAAUUGUGAAAUAUAAAUGACAAUUUAUUUAAACGUCAAAUACUAAUGAUGUUUUACCAAAUAAGUAGAAAAUAUAUUAUAUUUUUAUUGAAUAAUUACCAUUUACCUUUUCCUUUUAUUGACUUAAGAAAAAAACAAAAAACGCACUAUACUGCCUUUGUCUCGUUCUUAGAACAUAUUUGUUUCUUUUAAGAAAAUUCAAACUCGUUCCCCUUGCUUUCUUUUCAAUAAUCACCUCACAUUUUUAUCAAUCACUCAAUUUCGAAUUUCAUCUCAAUCCUCUCUCGAAGAAGAACGCACAAAGAAUUUCAGCUUGCUUUAGCCUCAUUUGCUUCUCGAAUUUCAGGUAUUGUUUCCUUUAAUUUUGAUAAUUUGUUUCUACUUCUCUCUUUCUGGUUUGAUAAUUUUAGGGUCAUAGUUGAAUUAUUUGUAUUUUUAAACAAUCUAGGGUUGAUUUAAUUGAUUCCAAGUGUCGUAUCUGUUCUGCUAUUUGAAUGCACAUUACUUGUUUGAUGAAAUGUCUCUUUAAAAGAUUAUUUUUUUUAACAAGCAUCUUAUUGAGAUGUUUCUCGUGAUAAUAUUAACGUAAUGCACUUAGCUUCAAUUUGGUAUGUUUAAUACAUUUUAACAAAGGAAAAUUACAGAACUGCAACAAUUCUCAAAUUGCUUGCAGAUUAGAAGUAAUGUUAUUGAUUUUUAUUAAUUAAUGAGAUUUUUAUUUAUUGAGUCUGUAAACUCACUAUAAGAAGUGAUUAUUGCUAUAAUUUGGUCUGUUUCAUACAUUUUCAUUCUCAUUAUAAAUGACGGUCAACUCUCAUUUUUUUCAUCAAUCACUCAAUUUUAAAUUUCAUCUCCAUUCUCUCUCGAAGAAGGACCCACGAAGAAGUUCAGCUUGCUUCAGCUUCAUUUGCUUCUUGAAUUUCAGGUAUUUUUCUUUUAAUUUUGAUAAUUUUUUUUAAUUCUCUCUUUCUAGUUUGAUAAUUUUAGUGUUAUACUUGAAUUAAUUGUAUUUUUAAUUGAUACUAAGUCUUAUAUCUGUUCUCAUUCAACAAAGAAAGAACGCACAAAUAAUUUUCACUUUCAUUCUCAAUUUUGAAAGAAUCAAUUUAUUUUAUAAACUAUAUUAGACACACUCUAGUUGCUUAAUUAGUAAAAUUGUAAGCUCAUUGCCUUAUUUUUUGGGGUUAAUUCUAUAAUUUUAUCAGUUGUUCUUGUGGUUGCAAACAAUAUCAUUUUUUAAUAUUAAUAAAACUAAAUGAAUAUUAUGUGAUACAUUUGCAGGAAAGUUAAUAGUUUAAAUAUGGAUAAAUCUUGGAUGUUGAUGGAUAGAAGGUUUAUAGAAUAUGAAAAUGGGGUAAAUGAGUUUCUCAAGUUUGCAAUACUUCAUGCUAGUAAUCCUGAACUUUUAAGAUGUCCAUGCCAAGCAUGUGGUAAUUUGGUCUUUCAUGUACCUGUUGAGAUAAGAAAUCAUCUUUAUUGGAAAUGUAUUGACCAAAGCUAUCAGACAUGGACUUGGCAUGGAGAAAGAGCUUCUAGUAGACGACCAUCAAAUGUAAAAGCUUCAUUUGAUGGCAGUCAACAAGAUGAUGAAGCUGCUGAUACAGUAGAAAUGGUUAAUGGUGCAUUUGACACUUGUAAUGGUGACCCCAAGUCUUUCGAAACUCUACUUAAAGAUGCUGAAAAACCUUUGUUUCCUGGCUGUGUGAAAUUCACUAAGUUAUCGGCCUUAAUAAGGCUUUACAACAUUAAAGGAAGAAAUGGAUGGUCAAACAAAAGUUUUUCAGAUUUACUAAGUUGUUUAUCAGAUAUGCUUCCUGAUAAAAAUGAAAUACCUUUAUCUGUAUAUGAAGCAAAGACGAUUAUGGUUGCAUUAGGCUUAGAAUAUGAAAAAAUACAUGCAUGUCCCAACGAUUGCAUCCUAUAUAGAAAAGAAUAUAAGGAUUUAUCUGCAAGUCCCACUUGUGGAAUGUCAAGAUGGAAGAGUCCCAAUAAAAGUAAGGGAAUUCCUGCUAAAAUCUUAUGGUAUUUUCCUCCUAUACCAAGGUUUAAGAGGAUGUUUCAAUCUCUUCGAAUCGCAAAAGACUUAACUUGGCAUGCCAAUGAAAGGGUGAUUGAUGGCAAACUACGUCACCCAGCUGACUCACUGUCAUGGAGGCUAAUGGGCCAAAAAUGGCUAGAUUUCGCUGCAGAAGAAAGAAAUCUUUGGCUGGCUAUUUCUACAGAUGGGAUAAAUCCCCAUAAAACUUUCGCAGUUCGUAUAGUUGUUGGCCAAUUGUUAUGAUUACUUAUAAUCUUCCUCCUUAGUUAUGCAUGAAGAGAAAAUUCAUGAUGUUGACUAUGCUAAUAUCUGGUCCACGACAGCCCGGUAACGAUAUUGAUGUCUAUUUGUCACAACUGAUUGAUGACUUGAAAACUUUGUGGGAAGUUGGUGUCCAAAUUUAUGAUGCAUAUAGACAAGAAUUAUUUACUCUACGGGCUGUCUUGUUGUGGACAAUUAGUGAUUUUCCUACUUAUGGGAACUUGUCUGGAUGCUCAAUUAAAGGAUAUUUUGCAUGUCCUAUAUGUGGGAAAGAUACACAGUCCUAUAGACUUAAGCAUGGGAAGAAAAAUGUGUACAUGCGCCAUAGGCGAUAUCUCCCAGAAUCUCACUUGUUUCGAGAUUUAACAAAGGCUUUUGAUGGUAAACCAGAAAGAGACUUUCCUUUUAAGCCGUUAAGUGGUGAAGAAACAUUAAGAAAGGUUGAAGGGAUUCAAAACUCAUGGGGGAAGAAAACUAGAAAGCGUAAAAAAUUAGAUUCUGAUGAAAAAAUUUGCUGGAAAAAGAAAUCAAUAUUUUUUUCUCUCCAGUAUUGGAAACAUUUGCAUGUUCGCCAUAUGUUAGAUGUAAUGCACAUUGAAAACAAUGUGUGCGAAAGUAUAUAUGGUACAUUAUUGAACAUUCCAGGAAAAGCAAAAGAUGGACUUAAUUCUUGGUUGGACCUUGUUGAUUUCAAUAUUAGGAAAGAAUUAGAAGGGAAUCACACUUAUUUACCUGCUGCAUGUUAUUCAUUGACUAGAGCGGAAAAAGUAAUGUUUUGCGAAACAUUAUUUAAUCUGAAGGUUCCUGAAGAAUACUGUUCAAACUUUAAAAAUCUUGUAUCAAUGAGUGAUUUAAAGCUUAUUAGGUUGAAAUCUCAUGAUUGUCAUGCUUUGAUGCAACAACUCCUACCAUUGGCUAUUCGAGGAAUUUUGCCAUAACAUGUUAGAUAUGCCAUCACUAGAUUUUGCUUUUUCUUCAAUGAUCUUUGUAGCAAAGUUGUGGAUGUAGAGAAGUUAAACCAAAUACAAAAGGAUCUUGUGGUCACAAUUAAUUUAUUUAAAAUGUAUUUCCUUCCUGAAUUUUUUGAUAUCAUGGUUCAUUUAAUUGUGCAUCUUGUUAGAGAAGUCAGAUUAUGUGGGCCUGUAUAUCUUAGAUGGAUGUAUCCCUUUGAAAGAUUUUUAAAAGAUCUAAAAGGGUAUGUGCGGAAUAAAAAUCAUCCCGAAGGUUGUAUUGCUGAAUGUUACAUUGUAGAGGAGGCAUUGCACAGAAUAUUUACCCAAUGUGGAUCCAAUUGGAAUUCCAAUUGCAAGGACGAAUAAUAUAGAAACUGAGGGUCCGCUUCUUGGUGGUCGUUUAAGUGAUAUUGAUCGCGACGAAUGGAAGCAAGCACACCAUUAUGUUUUGCGAAACACACAAGCAGUUCAACCUUACAUUGAGUAAGUUUUCUUAUCUUAACUUUAUUAAAACCAUGUAGAUUCAUCACUAAUAUAUUCGUUUUAUUAUGAAUCUUAAUCUUAGGAUGCAUAUGACAUGGUUGAAAUUGAAUUAUCCUCGCCAAUCUAAAAACAAGAAGUGGUUACGAGAUGAACAUGCUCGAAACUUCAUUUACUGGUUACAAGAAAAUGUUUAAUAAACUAUUUCCUUUUAUUUCUGAAAUUUCUAUAAAAUGUUAUGUAUAGGCAUAAUUUCAACUAUUUUCUUUUCUAAAUUUUAUAGGUUUCAAAUGGUAACGAUAAUCAGUCAUCCAAAUCAUCUUUAUUGAAAUGGCUAGUACAAGGACAUUGGCCUCAUGCAUUCUUAUAUCCUGGUUAUCUUAUUAAUAAUUACCGUUUUCACAUAAAAGAUCGUGAUAAUGAUAAAACCACUCAAAAUAGUGGAGUGACUCUUGUAGCUGAAACAGAGCAAAUUACAAGUGCCAAGGACAAGAAUCCUAUUUUUGGAGAAAUGCCUUACUAUGGAGUCAUUAAAGAGAUAUGGGUGCUCGAAUAUCACAUGAUCCAAAUUCCCAUAUUUAAGUGUGAUUGGGUUGAGAGUCAUAGUGGUGUUAAAGUUGAUGAGCUUAGGACAAUCUUAGUUGACCUUAAUCGUAUAGGUCAUAAAUCAGAUCGUUUUAUUCUAGCCUCACAAGCAAAGCAAGUCUUUAACUGACCAACUAGAUCCAAGGUGGUCAGUUGUACUCCAUUUCCCUAAAAUGAUGCCAAAUCCUGAAAAUUUUGAGAAAGGGGAGAAGGACAGUAAGAAUUACAAGCGUGAUGAUGGUGAGAAGAUCUGGAUUCAUAAUAAAACAAUUAGGAAAGCUUAAUUGUUUGUGUUGUAAAGUAAGAAUGUAGUUUAUUGUUUCUGAAUUUUAAUGAUUUCACUUCUUUGCUUAUUUAAAUUAAUUAUAGUUAAUGAUGUCCUAAUAGCUAAAUUAUCUAUUGAUAUGUGACAAAUGAGUACUUAAUAUUGGAUUGUGCUUUUGCAGGAUUAUGACCAUGGAGGAAUAUGAUGAUGAUAUUAUGUCCAUGGAUGAUAUAGAUGAUGUUGAUGCUGAUGUAGAAGAUCUUGAUUUAGAAGACUUUGAUACUAAUAAGAAGAUACAUAAGACUAGAGGAAUUGUCAAGAUGGAGAGUGUUACUAAGAAUCGUAGUGAUGGGAAGAGAGAGAGUUAGAUUUAAUAGCGAUGGACAAUUGGUGGGUGAAGAGAGACAUAAUGUUAUUAGUACAAUUGGUGCUGUCACUAAGACAUUAGUUUCCAUUCUUUCGAUGGAUUUGCGAAAAGUACCAAAGAAUUCAAAAGAAAAAAAAUAUGGGAAUACAUUCAGGUAUGCUUUAUAAACAUAUUAUGCAUUUUGCAAAGGCAUGAAAAUUUUUUUUAAACUGUCUUUAUAUUUCAUGUCUUACAGAGUUCGUUUGAUGUGGAUGAUCGAUUUAAAAGACAAUGUUUGCAAAUUGCUUGAAGUUCAUUUCGUUCUUUUAGAUAUAAUCUCACACAACAUGUAAAAAAAUACAAAGCCUAUCCAAAUCGUUUGCGUAACCCACCACUAUUGUACUCUUUCAUACAAAAAGGUCAUUGGGAUGCAUUUGUUAAUGAUCGAUUAUCUAAAGAAUUUAAGGUAAUCCUUUUUUAUUAUUGUGAACAUUAUUUUUUUAUAUUUUAUUUAUGUCAAUGCUAAUAAACAUAUGUAUUAUAUGCAUUAGACACUUAGUGGCCUUCAAAAAGAAAGACGAGCACUAAAUCUUUACAACCAUCACCUUGGUUGAAAAGGUUAUAAUGGAUUAGAAGAAGAAAUAGUAAGUAUUUUUUUCAUAAAAAAUUAUAAUUAUUUUUAGCAGUUGAUGUAUGUUUAACAUUGGUCACAUUGCUAUUGGAAUUAGAAAAAAGAAUGUGGAAAUCCCAAUUUGAAAGUGGAUAGAAGUGUAGCAUGGAAAAGGGCUCGUCAAAACCCAAAUGGUGGAUAUCAUCUGGUUGUGAUACCUGUUGUGGAUACAAUUGUAAGUAUAAUAUUCUUUGAGCAAUUUUCCAUCAAUUCCUUGUAUGUUGCAUGAAUAAUCACUACUAGAAAAACAGGCUACCAUGACAGAGAGUAUCUGUCAUCCGACCCCCCUUAUGAGUUAUGACAGAGUUUUCAUCUAUCAUUGUAGCCCUUGUGAUAAAUCCGAGACAAUAUUUUAUCUAUCACAUGUUCCCAUGACAGUGUAUAUCUAUCACGCAUACAUCACGAACCAAGCGAUGUCGUUUUGCAAGGCUUUUGAGAAUUAGUUGGAAAUUUUAGCAAGUAAUUUAAAUUAUAUUGAAUUUGGUGGGCUUUUUCAAAAUCUUUCAUAUAUUAAUGAUUCACAUUCUCUGUCAUGAGAUUUAAGGUUUUAAAAAAUAAAAUUAUUAUUUUUAAUUUUGAAAUUAUAAUAAUACUAAUUAAUAUUAUUUAAAUUCCAAAAUUUUGAAAUAGAAAUAACAAAAGCCACAUUUUAAAAUUUGAAUUAACUGAAAUAAAAAUUACAUUCAAAUUCAUAAAAACUAUCGAAUACCAAAUAUCACCAUAUACUAAAAAUUUCAAUUACUUGAAACUUCCAACAAAUAGCAUCAUCAAAAUACGUGGUGAAUCAAAUCCGUAACAAUAGCUCAUAAAUUCUCUACAAUAUUCAAUCACUACCCCAUCAUUAGAAAAACAAUUAAUCUGGAAAAAGAACACUGAUAGUAAAUUCACAAGAGCCACCAACAUCACCUGAAACACAUAUUACAUUUAGAUGAGUGCCAGAAGAAUAUAUAUUAGCGUAUUGGCCACUUACAAUUAAUCCAAUUCAUGAUGAAGUAUUUUUCCAAGAUUACAAAUUAAUUAAUGCACAACAUCUAACAACAUAAAACCUCUGUUACAUAAUUAAAUAAAAUUCAUCAAAAUUCUAUCCUCUAUCCUCUUCUCUUGAUUCCCCUGUUCUCCUAAAGUUUCACCAUCCUUUUCUUUAUUUCUACUCUUUUUUUUUUCAAUCUUCUCUUUAUUUUUCUUCCACUGUACUUGUUCAAAUUUGUAUAUCAAUCUAAGUUCUAAAACACAUAUAUUACACUGAGACUCCAAGCAACGCAAAUCCAUUUAACUUGUUCAUUAGGGCAAGACAAUCUUGGCUAAGAAGCAGCAUGUGGAAGUAUUUCAAAAUGACUAGAGAAAGACUUGCUCUAGAACUAUGGAAAUUAGCAUAUAAAAAGAAAUAGAAAAACACUAAAUAAACAAACCACCCAAAGAUUUCAUCACAUAAAGCAAGGGCAAAUUAUGUGAGAUUUCAUCACAUCAUCACAUGAAGCAAGGGCAAAAUUAUUAUCACAUCCCACUUCACACAACUCAUUACAUACCUUACCUCAUGGCAUUACCUCAAGAACAAAUACUCUGAAAAAUCACGGAUAUCAUUUGGCCUGGAAUGAUCAGCAGAAAACAAAAACGUUAACAAAGUGCUGCAGCAAUGAUAUCAGCACAAUUUCAAACUUAGAUAGAAUCUCACUUGGGGAGUCCAAUAUUCUCAUCAAACCUUUGACUUUUAUAAAAUUUCACCAGAUGGAGCAAACCAGCUCAAUCAAUUUCCUAUACAAUAGUGUGUAUUUAUCAUAUAUCAAUAUUGAGAACUGGUAAGUGCAACAUGGUCCACAAACCAAAACAUUUCCAAUUAAUAAAGCACAAUAUGUGACAAAUCAAAUAAAAAAAAAAAAUCUUCCAAAAAGUUCAACAUGUCAAUUAAGAGAAAAAUUAUAGGAUUCAUAUCAGUGCAUCCAUAAAUGGCCUAGUUUCUCUGUCAACAAGUUAGUUAUAAGCACAAGUCAAAAUAAAUCAUUUCACUGAAAUGCUAGAAGACCAAGCAAAUAAGCACAAUCACCACCACACAAAGCAUUUGCAUUUCCAAAAAUGUAGUUCACAAAGAUUUUACAGAAGAUAUCUUUCUAAUAGAAAAACACAAGCACCAAUCAAUUGUAAUGGGUUUGAGAACUACGAAAGUAAUUUUCACAGUUGAAGAAUAGUUUCUCACAAAAAUUCACUUUAUGCGAAUACCUCUGGUGAAUAGAUUUUGCAUACAUUUUGGUAACAUACAAUAUUGGACCUACCAUGUGCUCAAUAUAUUUAAUAAAUAAAGGUGAGAAUAAUAACAAUACCUUAGAUAUUGUAUUAGCUAAGGCAAACGUUGCUUCAAUCCGAACUCUUCAAAAGGCCUAGAAACAACAGAAAAAUUCCUUAAUUGUAUUUCAUUAAAAGUAAGUCAAAUCAAAACCACAUAUACCUCUAAAUUUGGUUAACUUGUCACUAAGGAAAUUAUUCAGUGUGCCAACAACAUUGAAAGAAAGACAGGGCAGAGAGUCUAGACUGCUGUAAUUGGUCGUACCUGAGCAACAACAUCUCCAUUCUUCUCUAAUUGAUUUAUCUAAUAAAUCAAAAUAGUCAUGCAAGAUUGUUAUCCAGUUAAUUAAGUAAACAUUGUUAAAAGUUUGUAUCGUCACCAUCUACUCAAUAAAGAACAAUAAAGAAGUAAAAACAGAGAAGCCAUCACUCCACACCCAAAAAGUUUCUCUCACUUUCUCGCCAGCCAAACACUCCUUUUCCUCCCUCAAAACCUCGUCUUACCACUCAAAACUCACUAAAUUUCAGCUCAAAUUCUGUUACAAUUUUACCCUAAGUCGAAGACGUAGCAGCUAACUCACCGUCUUUCUGACGUCGCCAACUCCUCGCAGUACAAUCUUCUCCGAUCCGACUCCACGUAAAUAGCACGCUGCCACUCACUUGUCACGGAAUCGUUCCACGAAGGCCGUAAAGCGGAGUCAUUGGCACGUUAGUCCACGAACUCGAAGUCAGUCCCUUAAGGCCAUGGAGCGGCUUUAUUUUUUUCCUUUUUUUGGCAUAAUUUUAGGGAUUUUGAUAAAUUUAUGUCGAUGGUUGUCUCUUUAAAAAAAAAGAACUCAUCACUUACCUCUCGCGAAAGAAGUCAAUAACAAUGGCUCGAACUUGAAGAAUAUCGGUUGUUCAAGCUAUAAAAUCUUAGUUAAAGAAAACAAACAAAGGGAAAUGGGAAUAGCUAGCAAGCAGUGGAGUGGGGAUGAAGAUGACGACAAAUAUGAACAACAGCAAUUUGUUGUCGGCAAGUGUGAUAGUGUAUUUUUGUGUGAUUCGGUUUGGAUGUAGAGAUUAGGGUUUUCUGUGUGAAGUUCAAAAGAGUGUCCAAUACUCUUAGAUUUUUUUUUAAAGGCUUCAAGACACGGUGUCGUUCAAUGCCCAAAUUGGCCAAUCUUAAACUCACCGUUUCAUUACUAUAUGAAUAUGCUAUCAUGUGCAAGUGACAGAUAAAGAAACUAUCACAAAUCUAUCAUGCAUUGCUGAUAUAUGAAAAUUCUAUGAAAAUUCUAUCAUGUGCGUGUCAUAUUUUUGUGAUAAAUGACUAAUUUUCUGAUAUCUAUCACAAAAAUUCUGUCAUAGUAGCCUAUUUUUCUUGUAGUGAAUGGUCUUAUAUUCUUGUAGGAUGAGUUGACCCAGCUAGCAAAAUUAGGGGUUAUAACCACAUCUAGUGAGAAUGAUAUUUUGGCCCAAGCAUUAAAGAAGCCUGAGCGUAAUGGGCGUGUUACAAGGAAGGGAAGAGGAGUCAACCCAUCUUCUUUCUUUCACAAUGUUAAUUUAGAAUCUGAUUGGCAAAGAGAGAAGAGGCUAUUGAAUGAAAAAAUAGUGAAGAUGCAAGCUAUUAUUCAUGAUCUCUCAAAAUCUUCACCAAAAGCAAGACACUCCAAUGUCUGUAGCAACAUAUUUGGAUCACAAGAUGUAUCUAAUGAGACAAAUAACAAAACAGAUCCAAUUUUUGAAAAGCAAAAAAAUUAGGUAUGCACACUCAAGUAAUUAAAUUAAUCUUUUGAAUUUAUACUUUAAGUGCAUAUUUAAUAAUCUUAUUACUUUUUUUUGUUAGGAUCAAACUUGUCAGUUGGCUGUAGGAUGUAAAGAAAACAUUGUUGCUAUUGGAACUAUUUUGGAGUAUAGGAAGCCAAAUGUUUUAGUUGUAAUUGAUAUGGUAUUAAGUCCAGAUGCCCAUCUUCCAAUCCGGACUAGUGAGCUUGUUCAGUGUUUACGUCAGUGAUGGGUUAGGACAACACAUAUUAUGGCCAGAAAAGUUUGUUUCCCAGCUGCUGUAGUAAACAAGGUAUUGAAUUUGGCAUAUAUUACUUGUUUUUUUUAAUUCCUUAAUUGAGAAUUUAAAUUGUAACCACAUGUGAAUGCUUAAAUUUCUAGAUGUCUAAGUCAGCUUUAAAGCCUUCCAAGGGGAAAUUAGAUGUGAAUGCUGAAGUAAACACCCCAUUGAUACCUGGCCUAUGUUACUAGCUUUAAUUCUUGUUUUAUUUCUUUAUUUAAAAUUUAAGUAAUAAUCAUAUUUGAAUGUUUGCAUUUCUAGGUGUCUAAAUCAGUCAUCAAGCCUUUUAAGGAAAAAUUAGAGGUGAAUGAGGAAGUAAACUCUCCCAUAGUUCAGCAAACAUUUAAAAAAACCUCCUGACAUACAAGUUUUUGAUAAAAUGGUAAAGAAAGUUAUGAAACCUGGUUCCCAAGUUAAGGUUGAUUUUGAGAACACAUUUAGUUACAAAUUGCAUACAUAUCUCACUUUGGAGGAAAUUCAAGAUCUUAUUGAUAUGCAAGAGCUUUCACAAAACAGCAUUGUUGUAUACAUGAGGUAUGAUACUUCAAUAAUGCUUUAUAUUUUGUCAAAUAUUUUUGUUUCACUUUAAUUGACCUAGCACUUUUUCUUAUAUACUAGAUAUCUUUGUGCUGAAACAAAGGCCAGGCUAAUUAAUGAAAAGUUUGAGUUCAUUCAUCCUACCACUCUUUCUUUUUUGGAUGAGAGUACUUUCAAACAGAAAGCAAAAACUCUUGCUAAUCGCUUCCAAGAAUUGAGUGCAAAACAAUUUAUCUUCUUACCAUAUAAUCCUAGGUUAGUUAUUUUGUUGCUUUAAAUAUCUUUGUUUAUCUACUUAGUUUUUACUUUUUAAUUAGUAUUUUUUUCUAACUCUUUAUUCAUUUGUUAAUAGUUGUCAUUGGAUCUUGCUUGUGAUCGACUUGCCCUCAAUGGUUGUUCAUUAUUUGAAUUCAGUGAGAAAUGAAAUCAGUGUUGAUAUAAAAAAAAAUUGUAACUGUGUAAGUAUAUUAAAGAUAUUUAGCAAUAAGUAUACUAGUGGUUUUUGCUAUAUAUAUAAUUAUUGAGUUUAAUAUUUCAUAUUUGAUUUGUAUUUUUUUGUAGUGGGAUUCGAAUGUUUCUUGCCAAAAAAGGACAGCAAAUGAAAAAGAUUAAUUUGAAAUGGAAUGAUGUUAAGGUGCCUAUGCAAAUUGGUAAUGUUGAAUGUGGCUACUAUGUCAUGCGAUUCAUGAAGGAGAUUAUUGCAUAUCAAAGUAUACUUUGUGCAAAGGUUAGAUCAUUAACAUAGCUUAAACUUAUUGCAGAUUUUACAGGGAAAUGUGGUUAAAAUGAAGUCUAUGAAUUAAAAGAGUGACAAAUAAAUAUAGUUUUUUGUCUAUUGAUGUUAGUUUAAUGAAAAAGAUACUUAUGAUGAAGAUGAGAUCAACGAAAUUCACUUUGAUUGGACAACUUAUGUUAGUGACUUGAUUUGAAAAAAAAAAUGCAAAAGAGACAAGUAAUGCAGGUAAAUAGCAUAUGAUUCAAUUGAAGUACAUUAGUUUAUUGUUAAUAUUUUUCAUGCAUAGAUUUUUCCUUCUCUUUGUGCAUAGAUAUCUUAUGCUUUCAUUGCAUAAGGCAACUAUAUCAUCUAGUUGGAUUCAUAAUAAAAGCUCUCAGUUAAUUCAAUCAAAAUUUGUCAAUGCCUUAUUGGUAACCAUGACUUACUUUUUUAGCCUCUUCCUUAGACAGUAACAAUAGUAUAUGGCAGUAAUUUUGGUUUCUUGAUGUGUAGGGCUAUGCCGUGGAGUUAUAUAGAUCUCAAGACCAAGACACAUUUACAAUCAAAGAGGAUAUAAGGGUUAUAAAAUAUCAGAUCUAUUGGGUUAAUGCAAAAUUUGUUUAAAAGCUUUUCCUUUUGUAUGUACAACGCUGCUAUGAAAAACUUUUGGACCGAUGGUGGAAUGCUAACUAUAGGCUCAAUGUAUAGUUUUAGAAACAACAUCUUAUUUUAGAUUUAUACUUAAGACAUUUGAUACAUUUAUACGUACAAUGCAAGUUCAAGUUAAUAUGAAUUCAGGUUUCCUAUGCUUUAUUAUGGUGUUUGAAGUUAGUUGAAAUUUUUUGAAUUUUAUCAUGUUUCAAUGUUAUAACAUAUAUAAUGUGCAGCCCAAGACAAGGAAUUUCACUAUUGUAAUUUUUUUUUUAAAUUAUAAUAUUUGAUAUUUUUAUCAAGUCAUUUGCAUUUGACCAUUUUGAAUAAUGUCACAUGCAUAUGACUAUUAUUAAGUGUCAUACACAUUUGACAAUCUUAUAUUGUGAAAAAUAUUUGAUUAUUAUUAAUUGACAAAAAUAAAUGACAAUUUUACUAAUUGUCAAAUAAGCAUAUUUGACACAGGAAUAUUUGGCACUUUUUAAUUGUCAAAUAUUCCUUUAUUUGACAGUUUUUAAAUAUUAAUUAUUCUCUUUUUUCUUAUAGUGUAUAGAAAUUGGUUUAGUCAGCAACAACCCCUAUAAUCCUUGAAAUAAAAUUUUUUAUGUAAUUUUCUAUAAAUUUCAACAAUACUUUAAACUGGAGCCAAGAUCAUGUUUGAUUUCUAGACAAAAUAAUCAAUCAAACAUAAAAAUUCAUAGUUUAGAGGGGUAAACUGGGUGGUUUAGAACUGAGCUAGCAACCUUAUUAUAUUUUGAUUUGCACUUCAUUGUAAAAGGGAAUAUAUUAUAGGAAAAAAGAAAACCAAUCAUCAUUUGUUAACUCAUUGCUUUUCAAUCAAAAUUUUAAGAAUAAAAUGCCAUGUGCUUUGAAUAUCAAAUAAGUAUAAACACUAGUUUUAAAUUCUACAUAUAAUAAGUUAUAGCAUAAUAGAAAAAUCUAUAUGCUGUUACUUGGACCAGUAAAGGGGAAAAUACCUGGCGAACCACAACAUAAUCAUCAACUGAUAGACUUAGCUCCCUAUCUGCUUGAGCAUCAAAUGGAUGUAUAACCUACAAGAUAAUGGGAUAAAUAAAACUUAAUCUUGAAAAGAAUAACAAAAGCAGCAGCAAUAGCAGUAGUGUUUAUUAUAAGCACUAUGAUUAUGGCCAACAAGGAUACAUUAGAAACACUAUUUUUAUUAGGAAAAUAAUAUGUAGUACAAGAUAUCAUGACUGUUGGGUUUCCAAGAGCUAUCAGAGCUCCACAAGUUCUAUAUGACUUUAUGUAAUUGUUUAAAUUAUGGAUGGGAUUUUAAUUCUGAAAUUUUGAUUGCUCUCCACAAAACAUGGCCUAUGCCACAAGAAAGUCAUAGAUAAUGAGGGUUACAAGUGUCCAACAUCUUUCGAGUGAUGGAUUUAAUAUGACAGCUUAUGGUCAGUCAAUUUCCUCUGCUUAAUAAGAUAAGCUUUCUAGGUCAGAUUUUUCAUCAAAUACAUAGAUGGCCCCCAAGUCACAUCCAUACAAACAUAGUUUUCUGAGUAAACCAAGUAAGGAGAAUUAUAAUUCAGCCACAAUCAUAGAAAGGACCCAUCUAACUUAAGAGAAAAUUUUAAGAAGAGGGAUCAUACUAUGAGCUAUCAAUCUUGUAUCUAUAAGCAAAUAUCAAGACUUUAGAUCACCUGCUACAUCGUGAGUGGCUACACAACUUUGCGGUGGUUUGUCUUUCUUUGGCAUGUCUAACUCAGCUUUGAUGUUGUUGAGAUAUUGGCAGCAGAGACACAUGAUACUUCUAGCUAUACAUUCUAUCUAGCUCAUCAUGCAACUAUCUCUUUUUAAUCCAUUAGGGUUGGCUAAAACUCUUGUUUAAAAGUCUUGUUCUCCUAAACAAAGUUUCCCUAAGAAUGACUUCUUCAGCACCACAUUUUGACACUUUUUAGAGCAAUUUUAUUUGGGGAAAAGAAUUUUCAAGGUGUUAACUAAUAAAUUUUAAAAGAUAGUCACGACUCUGUCCCGUAAUCAUAUGACAAUUUAUCUGGGAUGAAAGGACACAGACAAACAUCUUCCACUUUCAAGACUAAUCACUACUUUCAUAAAUGUUGUGCAAUAAUAAAAAUCCUUGACCAGAUGGUAGUGAUAGUAGAAAAGAAUUUUAUUGCUCUAGAAUUAAAAUAAGAAUGUAAUGUGUUAAGCGAAAGACUGUGCGAGAUAUCUACAUAAGGAGGAGUGUUAAAAUAUGAUGCAUCCAACAAAAGACAAGCCUUGUGUAGUCUUUUAAUUAAGCCAAAGUAGCAGCUCAAACAAAUGACACUUGGACCAACAUGCAAGCAUGAAGUAGUCGGAAAAAGGACGAAUGAUACUUUGGCCUAAAUUAAAAAGUUAUUACAAGACAACAGAAAUCACUAUCAUUGUAAAAUAAGUUGGCAAUAAGUAAGAUGAAGAUAAGAGGUAGAAUCUCAACACAUGCAUAGGCAUACACAAGAAAGUAUUAACUUAUAUACCAUAGCAAAGAGUCUUUGAUAGGUCAUCUGUUGCUGCUGUGAUUCAACUGACAACAUAUAUGGUAGUUGUCGCUUCUGUGCCAAGAGCCAUAACUGUAGAUUUAAGCUCGGUCAAUUUUGCUUCUGCAUUUCGAAGCUUCAUAGCACUCUCUGCUGAUAGAUCAGAUCCCUUAAUUUUUUAUCAGCGCCUCAAUACUUCAGCUACAUGGUGAAAAUAUUCAAUAUGAAUCUAAUAUAAUUCUCAUCUCCCCUUAUACAUAUGUUACCUUAAAGCUUACUUGGGCUUCAACUUCAUGUAGGAGUUUGUCAUAACAAUGAGUCAUGUUGCGUAAAUUAGCAAGGGCACUAGUCGGCACAAGUAAUAUAAUGAAAAAUAGAAUAUCGUCCCAUAGAGAUUAUAUAUCCUAUUAACUACCGAAAUUAUUCUAACAAUAAUAUAUUUGAAUAACCGAAUAAAUGAAUUUAGAUUAAUAAUUAAAUAAAAUAAAAUAACUAGAAAAAUUAAAUAAAGAUGUAUGCAGUAAUAGAAAUCACUAAGAUAUGAAGACACUAGCACAUCGAAUUUCACCAUAACCAAUCCAAUUUAAUCCUUCAUCUAUGUUAUUAAUGUUUAUUACCCAUGUUGACAGUGAAUUUUCCUAAUCUAUUUAAUAUCCUCUCUCGAGUAAUAUAAAAAAUACUUCACAUAUUAACCCACUAUAUCUCUAUGUGAAUUUAAAUAAGCAAAAAUUCAUUAAGCUCUACGGAAAUUCUUAGAAAAACUGCGUGAACCACAUUGGCACAUCUCUGUCUUUCCUUCAGUUCAUGGCAUCUAUUACGCAAACAAAAAAUAUAUAAAUCUCCUCUUGGUCUCAUUAUGUAUCCUCAAGUCAUUCAAAUAUUUGCCAGAUAUUUAAGGGUACGUUGGGCACACAAUACUGUAUUAUGUUGUAUUGCAUUAUUUUAAUGCUGAUGUAUUGUAUUAUGUUGUAUUGCAUUAGCACUGUAUUAUAACAAUGCUGUACAAUGUUUGGUGCUACACUGUACUUUAUUAAUUUUUUGAUUAAUUUAAAUUAUAUAUUAUAUUAUAUUAAUAUUUUAUAUUAUAUUCAUAUAUUUAAAUUGUAUUAAUAUUUAUAUUAUUAUUUAUAUUAUUAUUAAUUUUAAAUUAAUAUUAUUCAAAUUUAUUCAUAUUUAAAUAUUUAUUAUUAAUUAUAUUAAAUUAUAAAUUUACUAACAAAUUAUAAUGUAAAAAUAAAAAAUAUAAUAUAAUAUUAUUGAUUAAUAAAUUAUAAAUUUAUUAAUUUAUAUCAAUAAUUGUAACGUAAAAUAACAAAAUUAAAAUUAAUAUUACAUUAAAAAAAGGAAGAGGCAAGCUAAUGUGGCAGUUGCCGCAUUAGUUUGGGCCCAUUAAUGCAAUACUGCUGUAGCUUUUUAUAUGCCAAACAUGGGUCUGUAUAAAUUUAAUACAAUAAGGAGGUCUAAUACUUUAACAAACAUGCCCUAAAAGCAUUAAGCAUAAUAAUGAACACUCAACCAUGAAAUAAUAAACUAAAUAUAACACAGAUUUAUAUAAUUAAAUUUUCAUAAUUAGACUACAUUAUAUCCCUAAUAAAAUAUUUUGGAAGUUGCUCCGUUGAUUAACGCCCGUAUUGGCUCAGAUACCUCCAUGUCCAAAAACCUGUAACAUAAUUAAAAAGAUGAAAAAAAAAAGACUGAAACCUUAAUUGAAAAGUUCCUGUAGCAUAAUCAUGAAAUUUGGGCCUACGUUAAGAAUAUAUAUAUAAGGAUAAUUUAUGCAAUUUUGGGUGUUAGGAUGAUUAGUCUUAGGUUAGGGUUCAUCCUUCUGUAUUUAAGGUUAAAAUAGAAAUAAACCUGUGUAAAUAUUUAAAUUAGGGCUAUAAGACUUCCACAUGCAUCCUUCAGUGUCAUGGAUUUGAUUUUACUAUAGAAACAAGCGUCUUUAUCCAAAAUGCUUGGAGUUAAUUGAGAGAACUCACGGCCAAUAACUUGUCCCACGCUGAUCUUCGCUAGUGAUUUAACAAGUGACAAUGUUUCUUCAACAUUUGAACCAACAAAAUUAUUAAGUCAUGGAUGUCACUAGCAAUGGUUAAAACAUUAAAUAUUUCAGAGUUGUAACGUUUAAAUGGACUCUUUUAUUCAAUAUCUUAGAACUAAGUUUCCUUAUGAGAAGAUAAUAGUUUUGAAAGUAAUUUUACAUAUAAUUUUCCAUAUUUGAAUUAUUUUCUCGUUAGGGAUGAAUUUACCUGAUCACCAAGAAUCCCAAGCAAAGUUUCCCUCUUAUUUUCCAUCAAAUGAUAUGAAGUGCCAAAUUGAAAAGCAGCCCUUGCAACACAAGAAUUGUCACUUUGAAUCUCCGCUCCACAUUUGCAACAAUCUUCGGCCAACUUUCUCGAUACAAUAUUUGAAUACAAAAAUAUUAUACACAGAAACUAGUCAAGAAAAACAAAAUCAAAUAUUAUAAUGAAAGCAAGUGCAAACAAACAACCUAUCUCCAUUUGCUUCAAGCUUACUGCAACAAACCCUUCAACACCACGGACAAUAUUCCUCUGAAAAUGCUGUUCUACAUGGCAUAUAUUCCAAAUUAUUGUUCAGAUAAAACCAUAAAAACCAUCAUAAUUAUUCAACAUACAUUAAGCACUGUUUGGUAAAUACUUGUGACUCCAGUCUAGAAAAUAUAGUUGUUUGUACCAUAUUUGACAAAAUUAUUAUCUAAAAAUCAUAUUUAAUUAGCAAAAGCCACAAUAAAUCAAUACGAAAACAGAGAGGAUAGUACCUUAGCUGCCCCGGUGGAAUUGUACAGAUUUUGAAGUUGUUGGUGACACUCAAAGUUCAGCUUCAUCAACCGCAACAUUUUCAUUACCAAGACGCAGCAAAUGCUUCAAUACUGCCUGUACAAAUCAUAAAGAAAUAAUAAAAAAUAAAAUUGAGAAAUUUCACUAAUUAAACGUCUAAAUGGUUUUAAAAAAGAAAAGAAACGGACUUGCUGCUGCCUGGCGACUUGUUCGCGGACCUUGAUUGCCUGUUUCUUGAUAGCUUCCAUACUGUUUCUUUCAAAAAGCGACGACAGCUCAGCUCAGUUAAUUGAAAAAAGUGUGAUCUAGAAAAAUCAAAAGGGAUGAAUAAUUUUGGCAAAAGGCAAAGCCAAGUAAAGCCAGCUCUUUCCAGAAAACAAAAAAAUUAAAAAAAAAAAUUGUAAGUUUGAAAGGAGAAGAUGAUAGUGGAAGCGUGCAGUGUGGCUGCCAGCUAUUUGGAUUGUAUUGUCGGGUAAGGUAAUAGUAGAGAGAGAAUUUUUUAAGGAUCUAAAAUCGGGCACGUUGACUUUGUUGACCAAAUGGCACAGCCCAGAAAAUUUUUAAUACACUACAAGCAAGCUGUUUUAUUCCUCUCAUACUUUACGCUUGCAUCAGCUUAAAUCACUUCUUAAAUGCUUGCUUUAACCGAACCGCCUCGUACUAUUCUAUAUAUGUAACGGUUGCGCGGUUGUAGUUAACGGCUGAGGCUACGUGUUUGUUUGACGUGGUAGUUUUGUUACGACGUUACGAAUCUGUUGAACGUUCGGUGAUAGAGUAUUAUUUGUUAUUUUAAAGUGACAUAAAAUUAGUUACAAUACACCCGCUUGUUUUAUAAAAUAAAAAAUAAAUAAGUAAAUUGACUUAUAUUUUUAGUGGUUGAAUAUAUUUUGUGUUCUCUUGGGGCACUGUUGCAAUUGUUUCUUAAAUGUCAGUCACACCCACAUAUCAUUGACACAAGAAAUAGAAAUCUUAGAUCACUUGUUUAAUUAAAGAAUCACUCAUAAAAAAAUUUUGCCAUUUUGAUUUGAGGAUUCAUGUUUUGAACUACCAACUAAUGUUCAUCAAGGACAAAGUAUGGCUUGUAAGUAAAAAAAUUAUUUUUGGACAAAUUAUUUUUGUUGAUGGAAGAAUUUCUCAAGGGACUAUUUAAAUUAUUAAUAAAAAUGUCAGACACACCCACAUAUCAUCCCACAUAUCAUUGACACAAUUGAUUUUGAGAAUUCAUGUUUUGAACUACCACCUAAUGUUCAUCAAGAACAAAGUACGGCUUGCGAGUAGAAAAUUUUCUGAUUUUGGCCUAGAACAAAAAGAAAUUAAAUUGAAGGAGAAUCUACUACUUUCUCAUUAAGAAUGGCAUACGGGGCAUACGGGGCAUACCAUGGCACCAUACAACACCAGGAGUCUCCGUUCUCUGCUUUUUCAAACUCUGAAGGGGGCAAUAUUGUAAAAGUCAAACCAAGCUUUUGACAAAGAAAAGCUUUAUGAUAAAAGCUUGACAAAAUUGACCAAAACGUGUUAAAAUUUGGCACCAAACUUGGAAAUUUCAACAAACAUAUAGCUGGCAUGCAAGCUUUCUAUAGCUGGCAUGCAAGCUAGCACAAAUGGGCAAAUUGCCGUGUUGAAUUUUGGCCAUUCUUUAGGCUAUAAAUAGAGAAGUGAUGAGAGCUUGAAUUGCAUCCCGAAAACUUAAGAGCAUCCCAUUUAUUUAAGAGCUUAAGAGGAAUUGCAAGUGAAGCAAUUCUAGAGUUAUGAAAGUGUGAGCAAUUGGAGAGUGUGUGUGAGAGUGCUUUGGGUGUAUUUGGGUUUUGGGAAGUGAGGUUUUCAUUACUCAAAUAUUGUACUCCAAUAAUUGUUAGUAAUACAAUUAUUUUUCUCUUGCUCUCGUGGACGUAGGCAUAAUUGCCGAACCACGUAAUUAUUGUGUCCUUUAUUUUUCUGUGAUUAUUUGGUGCGCUUGAUUCCGCAUUCCGCGCACAAUAAGCGGUAUCAGAGCCGACGGUUCGUAUUUGGGGGGAUACGUACUGUUCACGUAUAUGAUACUAUUCACGUAUACGACACUAUUCCUAUAUACGGUACUGUUCACGAAUAUGGUAGAGACGGCCAUUUGUACUUGGGAGACAGUCUAUUGUAAGUAGUGUGUAUUUUUGCAUGUCUAGGAAAGUUCUGUGAACAAGGCGAUAAGAGUCUAAGGAUUCUGGUUUUUAAUUGGGACCGAGUUCCCGUCCAGUCUCCUGGGAACUUUCCCGGUGCAUUUAUUCACGCGAAAUUAACAUCAUAGAGAAUGUUUUUCAAGUGGAAUAGUUCGUUGAGAAAAUGGUAGAAUGUGAAACUUCCAGAAUUGGGGAGAGAUCUACCGAGACUAUUUCAAGAGAUACUUCAGGUGGGAAGCGAGAUUUGUCAAAUCGCUAUUCAACACCUGUUAUAGGAGACCAAAAGAUCGAUGUUGAAAAGUUUGAUGGGAAAAUCAACUUCGGCAUGUGGAGGCGCGAAGUUAUGGAUGCCCUUAUUCAAAUCGAUCUCGAUGUUAUUCUGAAAAAUAAAAAACACUUGUAUGAUGAAGAAAUUUGGGAUCGUAUGAACGAGAAAGCUUGUGGUCAGAUCAGAUCUUGUUUGACCAAGGAGGUGAAAUACUUGGUGAAAGAUGAGGAGUGUACGAUGACUUUGUGGCGUACAUUGGAGGAGAAGUACUUGCUGAAAAAUCCUGAAAAUCGUCUUCAUGCAAUUAGGGGUGGGCAAAAUAUCCGAUCCGACCCGACCCGAUCCGAUCCGAUCCAAAAAAUAUCGGGUUCGAAUCGGAUCAGAUUGUUGAUAUAACCCGAUCGGAUCAUGAUCGGAUCGAAUGAAACCCAAUCCGAUCCGAAAAACCGAUCGGGUUGCCAAAGAAAAAAAAAGAAAUUAAAGGUAAAAAAAGGAAACCUAAACCCAAAGACUAAAGAGCACAUGCACGUGAAGAACAUUCAACACUCUUUAAUAGCUAAAAGACAAAAUCACAUUUUAGCCAAGCUAAUAACAUUCUUCAGUUGCAUCAAAACGGAAAAAAAAAAGAAAAAAAACAGAGAAGACUCUUCCUCCCUUCCUCAACUUCUCAAUCUCAUCUCAAGAACACUCUUCACAAUUUCAUGCACACAACCACGCACACAUAUCGGAAAAGCAAAGGGCAGCCAGAUCGAUUUUUCCCGCAGUCACCGCUGACGCUAACUGCUCCGCGAGGACCGCAAAUGGAUCUGCUGCUACCGGAUUUGUUGCUACCAGAUCUGUUGCUACCGGAUCUGUUUCUACCGGAUCUGCUGCUACCGGAUCUGCUGCUCCACGCCGCCAUUCCUCCACCAUCACCUGAUCUGAUCCAAGAUCCAUUCAACCCGGUAAUUGCAAGGCUGCAACCCGAGUUUCCUUUUCCUCUUUUGAAGCUCUGUUGGUAUAAUAGUACUAUACCAGAUUGUUCGCCAUUUAGCAGUAAUAUAUCAUAUAUUAUUAUAUUACAUGUGAAAUUGUUAAUUUGUAAUUAUGUAUUGUUAAAUGUUAAUAAAAAAAUAAGAAAAUUGUAAAUCUGAACCCGAUCCGAACCGAAUUUAACCCUAUUUAUUGACCUGAUCCGAUCCAAUCCGAAUAUAUAUCGGAUCAGAUCGGAUCGGGUUAUAAGUUCGGGUUGUGUUCGGAUGAAUUUGUGUUCAACCCGAUCAAUCCGAAAUCCGAUCGGGUUGAUCCGAAUCCGACCCGAACCCGUAUUUGCCCACCCCUACAUGCAAUGAGCCAAGUAUAUGGCUUUCGAAUGAAGCCUGAGGUGUCAAUGCACGAUCAUGUCUCAAGAUUUGAAAAGUUACUUGUUGAUUUGAAGAAUCUUGAUGAAGAUAUUAAGGAUGAAGUCAAGGCUAUGAUUCUGUUACACUCACUACCAGAGGAAUAUAGUCAUUUUGUGACUACCUUGAUAUAUGGGAAGAGUGUGAUCGUCUUCAAAGAUGUUUGCACAGCAUUGACUAACUUGGAGAUUCGAAAUAAUGAUAAAAAUUCUGAACGAGCAUCGUCUGAAGCUUUGGUGAGCAGAGAUUGGGCGAUGGAGAAAAAGAAAAAGCGUGGUGGAAAGAAUUCUCGAUAAGCGUGGUGGAAAGAAUUCUCGAUCCAAAUCGAGAAGCAGAAAUAUAGCUCGAGACGACUGUGCCUUUUGUCAUGAAAAGGGUCAUUGGAGGAAAGAUUGUCCAAAGGCUCAAAAGAGAUAUGGGAAUAAACCAGCAGCAGCAAACAUGGCACAGAAAGAUGAGGACUCUGAUUAUUCACUAAGUAUUACUCCUGCAGCAUACAUGGCUAGUUCGAGCGAGUGGAUACUUGAUACUGGAGCAACAUACCAUUUGUGUCCUAUUAAGGAAUGGUUUACGGAUUUUCGUAAUCUGGAAUCCGGUGCAGUUGUGAUGGGGAAUGAUCAACCUUGUCGCACAAUGGGGAUAGGAACAAUUCGACUCAAAAUAUUUGAUGGAAUGAUCAGAGAACUCAAAGAGGUUAGAUUUAUUCCAACUUUAAAGAACAAUCUAAUUUAUAUGGGUGCUUUGGAAGCUAAAGGCUACAAGGUUACCAUUGAAGAUGGAACAAUGAAGUUUACACAUGGGGCUAUGGUGAUUAUGCAAGGGGUUCGACGUCACAAUUUGUACUAUUUGAAAGGAGGUACAACUGAUGAAGCAAAUGUUGUUGAGGUGCACAGUGACACCACCAAGCUAUGGCAUGUACGACUGGGACAUGCUGGAGAGAAGUCUUUGCAAACUCUGAUGAGGCACGGACUCUUAAAAGGUACUAAAACCUAUAAAUUAAAUUUUUGUGAGCAUUGUGUAGUAGGUAAGAAAACAAGGGUCAAGUUUGGUACGGCUAAUCACGAUACUCGUAAGAUCCUUGAAUAUAUUCACAGUGAUGUAUGGGGACCAACCAAGACUGCAUCAAUUGGUGGAAGCCAUUAUUUUGUUACAUUUGUUGAUGAUUUCUCUAGACAUAUGUGGGUGUACACUAUGCGAGCUAAGGAUGAGGUUCUAGAGAUUUUCGUGAAAUGGAAGAAAUUGGUGGAGACUCAAACUGGCAGAAGAUCAAAGUAUUACGAUAUGAUAAUGGUGGUGAAUAUACUUCUGAUCCAUUUUUGCAAGUAUGCUAGAACGAGGGUAUUAAAAGACAUUUCACGGUGAGACAUACUCCGCAACAGAACGGUGUGGCUGAGCGUAUGAAUCGUACUUUGCUAGAGAAAGUACGGUGUAUAUUAUCUCAUGCUGGUUUAGAUAAAACGUUUUGGGCUGAAGCCGUGAGCUACGCAAGUCACUUGAUAAACCGGUUGCCUUCUACUACAAUUGGAUGUAAAACUCCUAUGGAAAUGUGGUCUGGAAAGCAUGCACAAGACUAUGAUUCCCUUCGUAUAUUCGGGUGUCCAGCUUAUUAUCAUGUCAAAGAUGGUAAAUUGGAUCCUCGUGCUAGAAAAUCUAUCUUUGUGGGAUUCAAAGGUGGAGUAAAAGGCUUCAAGCUUUGGGAUCUCGAAGAUAAAAAGUUUGUGUGUAGCAGAGAUGUCACGUUUGAUGAAGCUUCAAUAAUGAAAGUUUCAAGUUCUCAGCAGGUGGAGAACAAGACCACAGAGGUAUUGCAACGGGUGGAGUUUGAUGCAACUCCAUAUGUACCAGUUAGUUCUACAUCAGAGAAUGAUUCAACUAUGGAGGUGACACCUAGGGUUGAAGAAGAUGUUGUUUUUUCUGAUGUCCCACAAAAUGCAGAAACAAUUGAAGAUGUAGAUAAUGAUGAUUUCAUUGCAACAAGGAGGCCAAGAAGAGAGAUAAAGAAACCCGGAUGGCUUACUAAAGACAUGGUGGUAGCAUAUGCACUUCCAGUUAUUGAUGAUGACAUCUCCAACACUUUCAGUGAAGCAUUACGCAGCAGUGAAAGUGAUCAAUGGAAGUUAGCCAUGGAGGAAGAGAUGAAAUCUCUCCAUCAAAACCAGACUUGGGAACUUGUAAAGUUACCAAAGGGGAAAAAGGCUAUUGGCAAUAAAUGGGUCUACACCAAGAAGCAAGGAUCUCCGAAUCAAUCAACUCCUCGAUAUAAGGCAAUGCUCGUUGCAAAAGGUUUUGCUCAGAAGGAAGGUAUUGACUACAAUGAAGUUUUAUCUCCAGUUGUAAAACAUACUUCCAUUCGUAUCCUACUUGCCUUAGUUGCAGAAUAUGAGUUAGCGUUGGCUCAAUUGGAUGUUAAGACGACGUUCUUACAUGGAGAUUUGGAGGAGGAAAUCUAUAUGAUUCAGCCUUGUGGUUUCAAAGUUGCUGGAAAGGAGAAUCAUGUGUGUAGAUUGAUUAAAUCUUUGUAUGGACUGAAGCAAUCGCCAAUGCAGUGGUACAAAAGAUUUGAUCAAUUUAUACAAGGGCAGAAAUUCACUAGAAGUGAACACGAUCAUUGUGUUUACUUUAGAAGACUACUAAAUGGAGCUUUCAUCUAUUUGUUACUCUAUGUCGACGAUAUACUUAUAGCUUCGAAGAAUAAAGAUGAGAUCGAGAGACUGAAGAAUCAGCUGGCUUCUGAGUUUGAGAUGAAAGACUUGGGUGAUGCACAGAGAAUACUUGGAAUAGAGAUUUGUAGAGACAAGAAGAAUGUGAGCGUAUAGUUGACUCAAAAGUCUUAUUUGAAGAAAGUGCUAGAAAAAUUCGGUACGGAUGACAAAACUAAACUGGUAUGUACACCUCUAGCUCCUCAUUUCAAAUUAAGCUCUUCUUCAUGUCCUACAUCUCAAGAAGAACGUGAUUAUAUGGCUCGUGUUCCAUAUGCUAGUGUUGUGGGUAGUCUUAUGUAUGUUAUGGUAUGCACAAGGCCCGAUAUAUCUCAAGCAGUGAGCAUGGUUAGUAGAUACAUGCACAAUCCGGGUAAAAAUCAUUGGCUUGCGGUGAAGUGGAUUCUCCGAUAUCUGUAUGGGACAGUUGAUGUUGGGUUAUUAUUUAAGAAGGAUUGUGGUCAACAAUGUGUUGGAUAUUGUGAUUCUGAUUUCGCCGGAGACCUAGAUAAGCGAAGAUCAACAACGGGCUACGUAUUCACAUUGGGUGGAGGUCCGGUUAGCUGGAGGUCGAUUCUACAAUCGACAAUUGCUCUGUCCACUACAGAAGCAGAGUACAUGGCAGCAACUGAAGCUGUAAAGGAAGCUAUCUGGUUGAAAGGCUUGUUAGGUGAUUUGGGAGUAAUCCAAGAGAACAUUGCGGUCUUUUAUGAUAACCAAAGUGUGAUAUUCCUCGCGAAGAAUCAAACAUAUCACUCUCGGACGAAGCACAUAGAUGUGAAAUAUCAUUAUGUGAGGGAGAUUAGCGAGGGUGGUGAUGUGUUGUUGAAAAAGAUCAAUACCAAGGAUAACCCAUCAGAAAUGUUGACAAAUGUGAUUUCUGGAGUUAAGUUUCAACAUUGCUUGAAACUAAUUCAAAUUCUUCGAAUGCAUUAAGUUUGGGAAAUUUUGAACUACGGUUGGCUUGAUCCCAAAUUUGUGGGUACGUAGGCAGUCACAGAGAUGCAGUCACUUUUGGGACGAUGGAUCGUUAGUAGUCGGCUCAGAUUUGGACAAAUUUUCGCCGAGGUGGAGAUUUGAGAUUUGUAAAAGUCAAACCAAGCUUUUGACAAAGAAAAGCUUUAUGAUAAAAGCUUGACAAAAUUGGCCAAAACGUGUUGAAAUUUGGCACCAAAACUUGGAAAUUUCAACAAACAUAUAGCUGGCAUGCAAGCUUUCUAUAGCUGGCAUGCAAGCUAGCACAAAUGGGCAAAUUGUCGUGUUGAAUUUUGGCCAUUCUUUAGGCUAUAAAUAGAGAAGUGAUGAGAGCUUGAAUUGCAUUCCGAAAACUUGAGAGCAUCCCAUUUAUUUGAGAGCUUAAGAGGAAUUGCAAGUGAAGCAAUUCUAGAGUUCUGAAAGUGUGAGCAAUUGGAGAGUGUGUGUGAGAGUGCUUUGGGUGUAUUUGAGUUUUGGGAAGUGAGGUUUUCAUUACUCAAAUAUUGUACUCCAAUAAUUGUUAAUAAUACAAUUAUUUUUCUCUUGCUCCCGUGGACGUAGGCAUAAUUGCCGAACCACGUAAUUCUUGUGUCUUUUAUUUUUCUGUGAUUAUUUGGUGCGCUUGAUUCCGCAUUCCGCGCACAACAAAUAUUCCCUAAUUUCCCCUUGAAAAGUAUUUCUCCAUCUCUUUUUCGAAAUUUCACAAUAAACCGGCACAUUGUAAAAGUUAUGUUCUAACCUUAUGAUAAAUGCUCUAGACUUCAAAUGGAUUUUAUAUAUGAGAGUUUGUUGCAGCAGAUAUAUUGACUUAUCAAAUAUGAAUCAUUGUCUCGAUGAACUAUCUUUAGAUAAAAGAAUAUUAGAACCACUGUAGAAUAUCUUUACCCUGCUGGUUCUAACAAAAAUCUGCAUGUGGCAGCAAUUACUAGAUCUACAAUUUCCCAAAUAAUAUUUUGUGUUUCUUAAAAAAUUUGAAAUACAUAGUUGCACACCGUGAGACAGUGCUACAAUCUACUGAGAUCUAAAUUAUAUGAGACCUUAAGCUACUAAUGUUUGCAUAUUUCUACACGUCAAAUUAACAUUACCAUCUAUAAUCCAAAACGACAGAUGAUAAACGGCUUUUGGCCACUUAUUACUAGCAUCCACAAAUAAUUAUUUUGCAGCAAUCAGCUUAUUUUAUAGAAAUUGAUUUAGUCAGCAACAAACACUAUAAUUCUUGAAAUUAAUUUUUGUUCUUUGUAAUUUUCUAUGGUUUUUCAUAAAUCAAUUAAUCUGCAGUGCCAAGAUGAGGUUUAGCUUUUCAAACUAAAUAAUCAAGCAAGCAAAAAUACAAAUUCAGAGAUUAGGGAGUGAACUAGCUAGGUGGUUUAGAACUGGGCUGGCUAGCUCACUAUAUUCCAAUUUGUACAGUGAAUUCAUUGAAUCAUGAGAAAACAAUGUGGUCAUAGCUCAAUAUGAGAUGAUUUCGGAAGGGCAUACUGUUUCCAAGUUAAGUUGAUCCAUUAAGAGAUGGAGUGGUAGGGGUGUCAAAAAAGCCCGCUCGGACCGGACCCGCCAAUCCGGUCCGGGCAAAACCCGAACCGCAUGCACAUAAAAACCGGACCCGGGUUUGAAAUUCUCAAACCCGGACAUUUCCGAGCCCGGGUCCGGGUUCAACACAAAAAAUCCGGAACCCGGACCGGACCCGGUUUUUUAAUAAAUUUUAAAAAAAAUAAAUAUAUUAUAUAUAAAUAUAUAAUUAUGAAUUUAUGAUAUGUUGGAUGUUAUUUAAAUUUAUUGUGUGAUUAUUGUGUUGUUGAAUUUAAUUUAUUUAUUUUAUAUAUAGAUUGAAUGAGUUUAAGUUAGAAAUUGGAUGAAUUUAGGUAUUAGAAAGUAGAUUGAAAUAAUUUUUAUUUAUCAUUUGUGAAAAAUUUGCAUUGUUAGUGUGUUAUAUAUUUGUAUUUGACUAUUUUCUUUUUUAAAGUUUGAGAUUGAAUGAGUUUAUUUGAUUAUUUUCUUUUUUAAAAUUUGUAUUGUUAGAGAAAUGAAAGAAAAAAUUGAAGAAAAAAAAUUGAAGUUAUCACAUGCGGGUUUAAAAAAUCCGGAUCAAAACCCGGACCCGGAAGGUGCCGGGCUCAAGCCCGGACCGCACCCGGAAAAACCGGAUUUUAACCCGGAUCCGGUCUUGCAUUUCUCUCAUCCGGUCCAGUCCCAGGCAACACCAAAACCUAUGGAGUGGAUUGUGUGGAAAGUCUAAAUAACAAAUCCUUGUUCUUGAGUUUUACGACGUCGUUACUCCUUCAAGCGGCAGAUUAUGCAAGUGAGUUAAAAAACACAAUGCAUCAAUCACGGGGAUGCUACAUCAAAAAGACGGGAUCAUAGUGUCUAUGCAUUGAACAGUUACAGUUGCUGCUACAUCAAAAACACAAUGCAUCAAGAACACUUUCGCUCUGUCUAUAUCCUUAUUGACCCCAAAAAGGAUUAAUAAUUGAAGACGACUAUACAGAGUUAAUCUCACACUUUCGUUCUCUCAAUUUCUUUCAGAUGUCCCUCUGAAAAUAGCUGCCAAAACAGUUGGUAAGCUUUUAUACUCUGUUUUCUGGAAACAGAGUCCUAACUAACUGAACUGACGGUGCAGAGUAUGUCAACAUGCAUAAUUAAUCGUUUUAACAGUAUUUUUGAGUUGUCUUCGCAGUGAUCAUCAACAAACUCAUCACAAGAUUUUUGGAGCACCCUAGGACUAUCACUAGAUUCUAAAAUGACUAGUUCACUAUUCUUUUACAGUCCUUUCACCAGUAAAAUUAUUCGACUUCUGGAACUGGGAAUGAAGUGCAAUGAUGGAGCAACAUUUACAAUGUCUCUGGUUUCUCCUGACUCUCAGAUUUUUGUAGUGAGAACAUAUAACAAAAAAAGGCCUCCAUCAACAUAUGUAGACUCCGGGAUAUGGAUUGGAUCGAGUUUUUGUUUGAUAUUGAAGAACCUCUUUACUAUCGCGAUUUAGAAUAUGUGCAAGGAGUUGUCUACCGUUUUUUGCCUUAUGCUAUGAUCGGUGCUUUUGACGUUGCCCUGAAACGGUGGAAAAUACUUCGAUAUCCUCCGUUUGAUGAUGCAAAGAACUGGUUAAUGUACGAUUACCUAAUUGACUCUGGAUCAAGUAACAACAACAAUUUAUUAAUAGUAAUAGCAUAAACUAAGAAGAUUUUGGAGAGGGAGAUGUAUGCGUAUACUGUUUACAGGUUUGAUCCAUUGGGGAUGAAGUGGUCUCAAGUUGAAAGUGAUUUAUUAAAUAACAAGUCAUUGCUCUUGGGUUAUACCUCAUUAUGUCUUCAAGUGGAAGAUAAGAUUAUGCAAGAUGAAGAUCGAGUUUUAGUUUGAUAUUGAAGAAUUUGAACAGAGAGCCCAUAGAAAGUACCUAAAUAAGCAUAUUCUUGAGGUAAAAUAUGGAGGAGGAGUUGUUUACUGUGUGCUGCGUAGUUAUGCUAUGAUCGGUGCUUUCGGCAUUGCGCAAACAGUGGAAAAUACUUCAUUUCCUCGACAUGAUAAUGAAAAGAAAUUGGUUGCCGAUUACCUAAUUGACUCAGGUGGCAACAAUCUAUUAAUAGCACAAUUUGAUGUGAUGCCAGUUAGGUAUAUGAUUUAGAGGUUUGAUUCAUCAGUGAUGAAGUGGACUGAAUUAAAAGUUUAAAUAAUAAGUAGUUGUUAUUGGGCAUAUCCUCAUUACUAUUUUAAGUGAUCAAAGAUGAAGAUGAAAAUUGUGCAAGUGAGUUCAAGAAUACCACACAUCAUUACUUCGGAUACUUCUUCAAACCUGGAUGGGGUUAUAAUUUACUCCCACGAAUUUCAACCCAAUUUUAUGAUUGGAGUGUCUCACCAUGACUCAGAAAAAAUUCUGAUUCAACCUCCUCCACCAAUGGAUUUUGAUAAAGUUACUUUGUGAUCAAGCAUAAAUUCACAGUUUGAUUUUGUUGCUACCACAUUUUUUUUAAAAUGUGGCCACGUGAGGAGAGCGGACCAGAGUGUCACUUCCUCAACAAGCACUUUAAAGAUGGACUUUAGAAGAAGAUAUAACUGCAAUUGUUUUCGUGUGUGUGUGUAUACAAAACUACAGAACAUUCAGUUCAUAAAAGAAAUUUUUGCUAACCAUGAUAUGUGGUAGUGUUUUUUAGGCAAUGUAGAAACAGAGUUGUUCAACUUACAACAGAUAUUCUCCUCAAGUUCGACUUAAUUAAUCUUACGAUGACACAUAUAACUUGCUUCAAAAUUAGAAAUUAUAAAUUGCCGAUUUACAAUGCAUAUAACUUGGAAGAAUUGGUGUUAAAAGAACAACUACACGCAUAACUUGGAGAGCAAUUGCGACAGUAGCAAAGGAUAUAUUAACUAAACUGGCCAUUGAGCAAUUAAGAGGAGCCAUCAAACAUCUUACUAGUUCUGGCAGCAGUUUAUUAACUAAAAUAGCAAUAUGAUGUGAGAAAAAGGAACAUACGUAGACAUACUUGGCAACAGUUCAUGAGAAGUAGCAUCGCAUUAAGGUAAUGACUUUACUGCCGUUAUCGUGCAAGGUAAUACUUCAUUUCUCCCUUUCUUUUUUUCACUUUAACAAAGUUGAAGUCAGUGAAAUUAUGACUCGACAUAAAAAAAAAGUCAGUGAAAGGCCAAUACCCUACUACAACAACAGGUACAAAUUAAAAGCUUCAUUCUAGAAAAGAUGACGCAUUAUUCUUUAUCCCUAAGGCUUAAGCCCACCACAGUGGAAUUUCAUAUUAAUUUCCGAAUGACUCGAGCAAUUCUUGAUUCAAACUCGUCCACCAAGCUGGGAUUUCGAUUGAGUGAGUUACCUUCUGCUCAAGCAACUUAAAGUCGUCGUUUGAUUUUGCUGCCACCCCAUUUUUUAAAAUUAAUUUCAAUUCCACCUCAAGGAAUUCUUAUCACUGAACAGUUGAAGUUAAUUUACUUUGAACUUUUGAAAAUUAUAUUUUUGAUGUUUUGCACUUUAUGGUUACUUAAAAUAAAAUUUGACGGUGUUUCUAUGAUUAAUUAUUUGUGAUAGUCUGUACUUAGCAAGAGUUCACGAGAAGUUUGUCUAAAUGCUCUUCACUAGAAGGACUAUAUCUUAUUAAUAAAAAUCUCUUGGGGAAGAUUCCACGCUGGUUGGAUAAUCUCUCAAUGUUAAAGCAUAUUAUAUUGUCCAAGACCUAUCUUGAAGGUCAACCUAUUCCAUUGGAGUUUUGUCAUCUUUAUUCUCUUCAAAUUUUGGACAUUUGAAAAAACAAUAUAUUUGGAAAUUUACUAUUUUUUUUCCACUCUCUCCCUAAUUAACAAGUUCACUUGUCGAAUAAUAUGUUACAUAGGCAUCUAAAAUGAAAGUACAUUUUCUAAAUGCUCUUCCUUAGUGACAUUAGAUCUUAGAUAUAACUGUUGUUGAUGCUGAAAUCUGCUCGCCUUUUACCCGACCAGAUCUUUUCACCAACGUUUAUGUGGUCAAUCGAGAAAAUGUCGCCUUCUUUCUGUUUCAACGAUUGCUUGAGUCCCUGGGACUAGAACCACCCUUUUUCUUCUUUCUGAUGCCUAUGUUCACAAAAACAGAUCAGAGACGCCGAUGGUUUUACCGACGUAAACCCUCCGAUGCUUAAGUUAGCACGAGAUGUUUACGGGAAAACUAUGUAAUUUAGAUUGUGUGAUUUCUUAAAAUACUCUCACAAAUUUGUAUGGAAUGUAAUCUGGUUUCAAUUUGGCAGAGUUUUCCCUUUGCUCUCAAUUUUUUCUGUCUCCUUUUUCAUCGGUUUCCUGGCUUCUUAUAGCCGUUGUCCCACGUUUCUGCGUACUCUUCAUGCCCCCCUUUUUCGAGUGAUGGCAGACCCUCAUGGGUCUCCAACCACUGGAUUGUGGGUAAACGUGGAAUGCCAUGUCUCUCCCAACAGUUCGGGAUAUAGUGAAACUGUCGCAAUUUCGUGAGAUCGUGUGCCCUUUCUUUGGGUGAUGGGUAUCUGGUCGGUAUAUGUCUCUGGUUGGUGCUCGUCUCUAGUUGGCACAUGUUUGUAUAAGAUGUUUUAUCAGGACUCUUCUUGUGCCAUUCAGUUGAGGAGAUUCGCCUCGGGGUGGGAGAUGAGGGCAUGGCCGAGCUGGUACUUUUUAUUACUUAACAACUGCUUGAAUGACAGCAUUUUGAGAUUUGGUUGUUAACUUUCUCAAUUAAGAAACCUUAUCUUGACUCCCAAUAAUCUUGAAGGUGAAAUGCAAUUUCAGUUGUGCUAAUUGUACCAAUUGCGAUUAAUAGAUCCUUCAAAUAACAAAUUUUAGAUAACGUUGCACUUCAUGAUAGAAUGUAAGAUAAAACUUGUUUUUUUUUUUCUUUUUUAUAGUAUUGACAUUUGAACGCUAUCAAAAUAGAAUGUAAGAUAUUGUUCAUACUACAAUAUUAUUGUAGCAAAACUAGCUGAUAGCAGUAUUCAUACUACAGUGCUAUUGUUUCUAUCAUAGUAAUAUUUUGUUGGUGGCUAAAUAUUAUUUUUUUUAUUAAAUAAAAAAGUGGGUAAUACUCAAAUUAAUUUUUAAUUUCCAAUCUCUCUCGAGUUCUCAAUUCAAGUAGCCAAUCAAAUAAAAAUAUUUAAAAUUAAUUAGAUCAUCCAUGGGCCUUUUUUUUUUUUUUUUUUUCAAAGGAGAUGGAUUCUUAAAACUACAGGUAAUGAAAUUAACUAACAAAAACAGGUUUAAAUGUCCAUUUUAAAUUUUUUUAAUAAUUUUUUGUUUACUAUUUUACCAGCUAUAUAAAGAGUGCCACGCCAAUACAUCAAUUGAUUUAGAAAUUACAUUUGGGGUUUUUUUAAUCAUAUAAAGGUGAUUAAAUAAUUUUGUAAAAUUCAUUUGGCUUGCACUUGGUCGCCUCUGUUCUCUGAAUGGUCAUGACGUUAUCAUCAUCUUCUUCUUCACUUGUACUAACAUUAAAUUCUUCUUGUUCACUUGUACUAACAUUUUAAUUUCCAAUCUUUCUCAGCUAUAUAAAGAGUACUCUUUCUCGGAUUCUAGGUAGUCCCACACAGCUCCAUCUCACUCCAAUUGUCACCCAACAAGACCAAUCGCUUAAUCAAGACACAGAACAAAAAGAGGAUGAGAAAUUGGAACAAGAACUUGAGAAUUGGAAAUCGAAAACGUACGCAUUGACCGUGCCUUUGAGAGUCGUUUCUCUUCAGAAUUCAAUACCUUAAUCUUGGGUUAAGGAUUUUAUGCGAAGUCAAGGAAAGAGAUUGAGUUCUCAGAUGAAUUUGUGUGCUAGCAUUGAUGGGAUCUUAACAAUUUAUCUGUGCCUUUUAACAAAGUUAAGGCUAAGUCAGCUCUUAUAUGGCUGCUGAUUUGGUUAGUGUUGGUGAUCCAUGGCUCAGUUUUGCGAUUAAAAAGAGAUUGAUUGAACCAAUAGUUGGAGCUGAAGAUCAAGAUUGGUUCAAAUGCUUAAGUCACAAAUGGAAGGUAACAUCUUUAUCAUUGUCCCGAUAUUUUUUAUUGUCUUACAUUGAAGUUUGGUAAUGGAAUUUGUUCUCUAUUUAUUUCCCUUUGUAGUCAUUUUAUUUAUUUUUUUGUUUGCAUUUAUUUGCACUUACGAAGUCUCAGGUAUAUCUACGCAGGAAUGAUGCAGGAGAAAUUGAUCCUCUAGGUAAAAUAUGCGCGGCACCAUAUCAGUGGGGCACAGCGGUGAUAGCUUACAAGGAAAGUAAAUUUCGAAAGCUUAAUUUGGCUCCGAUUGCGGUAAUAAUUGUCUUUAAACUCAUUUAGUUUUAUAUCAAACAAAACCAAGACUGCCUUUCUCUUCAAUAUUUUUUAUGAUAAUAUCUUUAGAAGCAUCUUAUUGAUGGGUAAUAAUGGUACCCCUUAAAGAGUUUAUAAACUCAAUGAUAUUAUCUUCUGCAAAUGGUUCAUUAAACUUUGUCGUUGUAGUCAAAUGUACACUCAGAGCAAUGAGAAGCUAUGCCACUGUAGCAUGUAGUGAUGGCACUUAAUAAGUGAGUUGCUAGGAUGUGAACUAGAAAAAUUAAAUAUUGUCUCCCUGGGUAUGCUAGCUCAUAAGUCAGGGUUAAUAUUAGAACUCAAGAUACUUUAACCAUGAGAAGCUAUUGACUGCCAAUUAAAAUAUCCUUUAAAAUGUCUAGGAAGUUAUGAAGGUGGAAGUAUCUUCCGAUUUCUAAGGCCACAUGGUAGAUAUCAUCCAGGAUCCUAGUACAGUGCAGUUAUCCUCCUGCUAGAUGCAAUUAAUAAAUUUGGUCAAUGCCACUGAAACAUGCUAACUGACGUCACAAUGCGACAUGAGCACUUCAAAAUGGGACAGACGGUCGGUAGCACUAAAUUUUUCUUGCCUAAGAUUGAGCAAUUGGUCUAACUACUAACCCCUUUUGUAGGUUGAUCAUUAUUUUUUCAAUUGUUUUCAGUCUGACCCAAAAUGUUACAGAAUCUUGAUCUGAAUAUUGUCACUGAACACUGUCAAUGUCGUUUAGCGUAGCCAACUAACUUGAGUUUGGUAAAACAAACACACAGUGUGUCUCAUGUCUCACAAUUCAAAUUAUCAUUUGUAAUGAUGGAGAAUUUUUCCAAUGUAUGAAGUAUGCUUUGAUACGUGGGUUACCUUGGAGAAGGUAUCUCAAAAUAAAGAAUAUGGGGAGAAAACAGUUCAGUAGUUUAUUAUUCUGUAGUCAAGUUUUGUCUCAAAAAUGGUCCAAAUUUAAAUGAAUAAGGACAGGGGAUCUUCAUUCUUUUUUCCCUUUUUUAUACCGAGAUAUCUCUCAACCUUUACAUAAUCCCCACUGGAUAUCUGCUUCUAAUAAUUAAAAUAAAAAUUUCACCCACACAAAUAAUGUAAUACCCCACACCCGAUUAUUUUUUUACUCUCCACCUAUAUAAAUUGAGCGCGAUUAAAAGUUCGAGUAGUCGGAUGUAUUUUCAUCACGGGACCGGUAUAAGUUUAAUUUGUAUCAAGUUUAAGUGGAAAAAAAAAGAGAAAGAAAAAGAAAUCGGGUUUUAUAUAUGGAAAUGGGGGAAACUGUUUUUGAUUUACAAAGAAAGAGGGAGAAGGCACGAGAGAGAGAGAGAGAGAGAGAGAGUGUUUGACCCGGUUUGACCCGCAACCCGACCCGGAACCCGCGACCGUGACCCGGAAUUUUCUCUCGAUUCCGGCCACCUCACCGGCCGUGCUUGGUACCGAUUUGAAGCUUGGAAGCCGCCCGACCUAUCCCCGCUGUCCUCGUUGCCGGAAACUGACCAGAACGCCGGCGAUUUGAGCUCGAAAACUCGCGGCCAAGGCUCGUUUUUGCCGCCGUCGAUUUCGCCGGAUUUUGGGCACACUUCCAGCUGGGUUCUACUCCUCACGUCACCAGCAUCAUUUUCCGACCAACCUCGUCACCUGAAACGGCCGGAUUGCCGGCGAUCAACCACUUGGGAAGCUCGUGGUUUUUGGAAGCUCGAUUUGCCGCCGCUGCCGCGCGUGGAAGGUCACCACCGCCACCAUUGGACUCAGCAUGGCUUGAACUUUCAGUUCUGAGCUUCUCGUCGCCGUCGGAUGAAUUCCGGUGACCGUUGACCGGCAAGGGUAUUUUGGUAAUUUCACAGUCUAAGGGCAAUUUUGUAAUUUCAGAUUUUGUGGGUAUUUUAGUAAUGGCUGUAAUUGAGGAUAAAGUUGGUAAUUUAUGAUUUUGAGGUUAAUUUGGUAAUUUUGAUAUGAGGGUAUUUUGGUAAUAUUGAAUUCAAGGGUAAUUCGGUAAAUUCAUAAAACUUGAGGGUGAAUCUGUAAUUUGUGGAAUCAUGGGAUAAAUUGGUAAUUUUAAGUUAGGGCAGUGUGGUAAUUUGAGAUUACGAGGGUAAUUCGGUAAUUUAAGACGUUAAGGACAUUUCGGUAAUUUUAUGCCCCAAGGGUAAUUUCGUACUUUCGGACAAUGUGAUUAAUUUAUGUAAUCUGAAUUGAGGACAAUAUGGUAAUUGACGAAUAUGAGGAUAAUUUGGUAAAAUAAUGAAGUUUGAGGAUAAGUUGGUAAAAUAUUGAUGUUGGGGGUAUUUUGAUAAUUUUGGCAUGUAGGGGUAUUUCGGUAAUUUUGUGCAUGCGGGAAUAGUUUAUUGUUGAUAAAUAUUCGUUUCGAGAUUUAUUAUAUAAAAUUGGUUGUAUUUCAAGUUUACGGAGAAUGUUUAUGUCGUUUCCCUGAUUAGGAGGAUCUGCGAACGAGAAUCAACCCGCGGACGUUGUUGAUACCGAGUCUAGACAUCAUCACUGUGAGUGGAAUAUACAAAACCUAUUUUCAUAGUAUAUGCUGAUUUUAUGAUAAGUAUUUAAUGCUUCGAUUAAAUGAUUUUCCGGCAAAUUAAUUUUUAUCUAUGUGUCGGUCUUUAUUGUUAUUGAGAAUGAGUUUGAUUAAUGAUUUUAUUAGCGUUUUUGAGUAAAGGCAUGAUAUUAGAAUUGAGCAGAUUUUGAGAUAUGUUGAAUAGAAAGAAAAUGAGAUUUCAGAUGAGAUUCUAUGUUUAUGUAUAUGUUAUUUUUGAAAUCAUUAGACAGUACCCUUCCCUCCAGAUACAGAGAAACAGAUAAUAUGAGAUGAGAAAAGAGAUACAGAUAAGAUGAGAUAGAGGCCUUUGGGGCCCGUCAGGACACACAUAGAGGCUUUGGGCCGUGUGUUCGGGCGCUUUUGCCUUUUGGGGGCUUAUGCAUGCGCAGUACAGAUAUAUCAGAUAUGAGAUGAGAUCGUCCCCAUCUAUCCGUUGUAGCUCCGGGGCGUGACGUUACCCAGAUAGUACGUCAUUGCCCGUCCGUCGAGGUCCGGAUAUGAUCAGAUUAUCCCCUGGGUACUUGCUUGAUGAUAGUUUUCAGUAUUCAGUAUUUUAUAUGAUAAGUAUUAUGAUUCCAUUGAAUUUAUGCAGAUUUUAAUGUGAUAUAGUAUUUCAAUGAACUAAUUUGAACUUAAUAAGUUUAUGUAAGUUCUUAUGAUAUUUUGAUGAAAUUGUCUGAGCAAAUUGAUUUAUGAAAUUGAUUUGAGGAAGUGAUUUGAGAAAGUGAUUUGAGAAAGAUUAAAUGAUUUUAAAUAAAUUUAUUAAAUUGUCAGCAACUACUAUCCACUCACUGAGCUCACUGAGUUUUAUACUCACCCCUCUUUUAUUAUAUUUCCCCCCCCCACAGGAGAUUUACAGGUACAUCAGUCAACCUAGUAGCGAACGUUAGUGUGAUAUUGUGGCCACGUGAUGGUGCUAGGAGUCGUGAAUUUAAUUAUUAUUAUAUUUGGGAUUUUUGCGAGUUGUGUUUAUUUAUUAUUUUAUGUUAUUAAGGAUAAUCGAUGUAUUUUAAUAUUAGGAUGAUUUGGAUGAUGUUUGAUAUAUUGAUUUGAGAAGUUGGUUAUGGAGGAUGGUUGGAUAUUAAAUUAUUUUGGGAGUGUUGCUUUAUAAUUUGCAGGAUUGGAUAUGUUUUAUUUAUAAGGGAGAUUCUGCCGAAAUUUUUAUAGAAUAGUUUCGAUUUUACGAGUUUAGAUAGACUCGCCCUGGGGAGUUGCGGGGCGGGUCGUUUCAAAUAAAUACUGACCAAGCUCUAACAAUAAAAAGUAACAUCUUUAGUCAAGUGAUUUACAGUUCCUCAUCAUCUUAGUGAGACUAUCAGUAUGUUCCAAAAACAUUAUAAAACUGGUUUGUUCCUGUUUAUUGAUGUUUAAAUGAUGUUCAUUGUGACAUGUAGAAAUGAUGAGGCGAAGUUUAUUUGGCCAUCAAUUUGUAAGAUCUUGUUUGAAGUUGUUUUCUGAAAUGAACUGCCAAAUGGUAGUUUUUUUGGGCAUUUGAUGGCUCUUUUUUCCUCAUUUUAAACAUGUGCCUGCUUGGAACAAGAAGGAUUAGGCUGCAGAGUUGUUAUAUAUUUUGACAUGCUCUGGUCAUUGCACAAUUUGUUCACACUGGAAACUAGAAUGAGAAAUUUGUUGCAUUCUAUGCACAAUAACAUGAUUCAUGAAAAUGGAUUGUAGGACUGGAAAGAUCUGUGGCAGCCUGAGCUCGCAGGACGAAUUUCAAUGGUUAAUUCUCCCCAAGAGGUUAUUGGUUUAGUUUUGAAGUAUAUGGGAGCGUCAUACAACUUGAUUCGCAAGUUGCUGGUGGGAAGAUUGCUGUUCAGCAGAAUCUGGCAUUACUGGCAAACCAGGUACUCUCAAAGAAAUGAUAUCUGGUCAUUGCAUGUUAUUGCCUGACAACUGAUUUUGUUUGUAAAAGUCUGCUUCUUCAUACAUAUGAAUGCAUAUGUUUGUGUUUUCUUCUCCUUUUCAUACAUAUGAAUGCAUAUGUUACUUCUUUUCCUUUCCAUACAUAUUAAUACAUAUGUUGGUGUUCUCUCCUGAGAUGGAUGCAAUAAAGGCUUUUCUGAAGAAAUGGCAAGGGAUGUGAGAUUCUGUCUCAUAAAAUUAACAAAAACCCAAAACAAUGAAAACCCAUAAUAAUGUGGUGUGGGUAAAUUGACACCAUUUGGUUCGUUUCCUUGAUUUGAAUACGCGGGCAAUAGAGACUAACAAAAUGAAGUGACAACAAGAAGUCAGUGUCCUUUGAUGGAUGCAUUUUUAGGCAGAAAUAGGUUUGUAAUUGACCAAAUUUGUCUGGCAUGCCAAUUUCAAAAAAAUUAAAUUAUGUGGUUAUUAGCUGUAAUGAAGGGGGAUAGUUGGUCCAAUCAGGUGGAUCCAGGAAAGUUCAACAAAGUUCUGGUAUGGCGUAGAAAUUGGUUUGUGCAACUCAAGAGUCUUUCUGGUGAACGAUGAUGGGUUUUGAUUUAUAAAUGUUAUAAAUCUACUGUGCAUAGUAUUCUAGUAGAAUCAUCUAUAAGUUCUAGUUAUUGAAAUUGUCUACCUUGUUCAGUUUGAGUUAAGGGCACAUGUAAUAUGAAAAAUAGUUGUCGCAUCUUUUAGGUUACCUAACAUUUGAUCAAUCCUAUUAUGAGGGCUUCAAGAUGUCUAACAAUAUGUGGAAUGCCCAUGCUCCUCCCCAUUGUUUAUCUUAUAUAAUAAUUUGUUUUCGAUGCUAAUAUCUUUGUCGAUACCGGUAACAAUAUUAUAAUAUCUGCGUUUAUUGGGUUUUACAUAGGUUCGACUGUUUGACAGUACACACUAUCUGAAGGCAUUUGGAAUUGGAGAUGUAUGGAUUGCUGUUGGGUGGAGUAGUGAUGUUCUUCCUGCUGUCAAACGUAUGUCUAAUGUUGCAGUUGUUGUUCCCAAGUCUGGUGCUAGCUUAUGGGCUGAUCUUUGGGUAUACCCAUGCCUGCCAUUCUACUUCAAUAUUCACAUUGUUAUCUCCUUCAUAUUAGCGAUCAGUAAACACGAUAAUGUGACUAAUAAGUUUGUAUUCUCUUUAUAGCCAAUCCCUGCUGCCUCAAGACUUGAAACAAAACAAAUUGGAGGGCGAGUCAGAGGUCCAUUUCCAUUAAUCCAUCAAUGGAUAGAAUUCUGCUUGCAAACAGCAUGAUCAUUGCCUUUCAAGCAAGAGGUUAUCCCGAGCGCAUCUCCCUCUGCUCUUGAGAGUACUCUGGUUAAGUUGCCUGAAGAACUUUUGAAGGGUAAACCAAGUCUGGAUACUAACUUAAUUGCGGGAGUACCCCCGGCUGAAAUUCUGGCCAGAUGUGAGUUUUUGGAGCCAUUAUCUGAAGCUACUUUGUCAGAUUAUGAGUGGCUGGUUGCUAAUCUGCAAAAACCUGCUCCUGUCUUGAUGAAAAGGGUGCAACGUUACUUGUCAUCAUUAAUCUUUAGCUAAAGGUACAUUGAAAAGUUAAUGGCACUGCAUACCAGUCAUUAUAAUUGGGUCAGGGCAAUUAGGUCAGAGCAUAACUUCAUUAGGAAAAGAGGCUUCAGCUACGUUAAAUAUUACAGGAUGUACAGAGAUGGCUGAAGUUGUUGAGGUUUUACGAGAAACGAAAGAUGAGUGUUUGUUUGAACAAAGUUGUUGCCAAUCUUGCAGAGUUCGAGAAGAAAGAUCACAGAGCGAAUGCCACCGAUUUCUUCAUCAUUGUAGCCUCCAUAGUUGAAGUUUCCUCAUUUGAAGCUGUUUAUGCAUUAAGCUUAUUCCCUGCUCAAGUACAGGAAACUGAAGAAUUAACCAGACAUGAUAUGCUGAAAGAGGGAAGUUUUCUUCCUUGAAUGUGGCCUUGUGAUUUGUAGUGAAGUAAUAGGAUGAUCACUAGCAAGAACCCUAUCAAGGUAGACUUUAUAAUGUCAACAUAUUAUUAAGCAUUUGUCAAUUUAGCACUUUCGCAAUGAUACAUUCAUAGCAUGAAAUUAAUUAUAUGAUCCUGAUUAAUCAAUUAAUCUUCAUGAGAUUUAACCUAGUUAAAACUAAGUACAAUCAUCGUUAACAAAUACUGAAAUUGGGUAAAUAUGAUCUCGACAUUGAAGAAUUUGAAAACACAACCCACAGAGGAAAUUACUUAUUGCAUGGGGAUGGAGAUGGUUACUGCAGGGAUAUAGAAUAUGUGCAAGGUGUUGUCCACUGCUCGUUGGGUUAUGGUGUGACUUGCGAUUUCAAGGUUGCCCUGAAACAAUGGAAAAGAUUAACAUAUCCUCCAAUGAAUAAAAACGGCUUGACUAAUUCAAAUUACUCAGGAUCAGGUGGCAAUAAAACAGUCCAUUUACUUUUCCAGGAUCAGAUGUUGAUAAUAAUAGUUUAUUAAAUGAAAAAUCAUUGUUCUUGGGGGUUGGUUGUAUACGUCAUUACUACUUCAAGUAGAAGAAAAAGGUUGUGUAGGUGAUUUCAGAAAUAAAAUACAUUCUGAGAGAUGAUGGUCCACUAUUGCAUGCCCCCCAGAUUUAAUAAUCAUCACUUUUCCUUAAAAAACUGCUACGCUUUGAUUUUAGUGCUGAAUAUUUAUUGAACUCUGAUAGAGGGAGUUUGAAGUCAAACUCGUAAUUACAGGUUAUCUAAUUGCGAGUUGCUGUCCAUAGCUGUUGAUUUGUAGUGAUUAUUUAAUUGACUGAGGUAACAACAAUUUUUUUUUUAAUUUUCAGUAAAAUAAAUUCUCCUAGUUAAUUUGUUUCAAGUUAAAUUAUUAAUUACUUAAACUCUGUUUUAAGUCUUUAAUUUUAUGUCUUGGCGUAUAUGCAAAAUUGGAUUCUUGAGCGUGCUGGACACGACCAACAAUGAAAUUGACAGUAAAUAAACAUUACAACGUGUGGACUCCGGUAGCUACAAGUCUACAACUUCACAAAUAAUAAUUGAGUAAGCGCCUUUGAUUCUCGGGACCCUUCAAUGAAUUUCUAGUCCCGUUGACUCCGCCGACUAAAGUUCUGUUAAAAAAAAAAAUACAUAGAAUUCCACCAAAUGCAAAACGCGUGGAAUUUAAUUUUCGGCCAUGUGGACCGAAACAUAAUUUAACAAAAAAAGAAAAAAAAUGAUAAGAUUUCUAAAACGUGUGGAAGGUGAUCCAUAUUUUACUGAAACGACUUGUUAAAAUUUUCAAAGAUUUAGAAUAUUUGGUUAUAAAUUACGCUCAUGUUAAUUUUUCUGCCAUUGACUAUCAUAUUCUAGACUUAAUGGUACCUUUCUUGAUGAAGGGUACUUAGUCUCUCUUCUCGUCUUAUAAAAAUUAUAUUAAUUGAUUUCUUGUUAUAAUUAAUAGUCUUUAGGAACGGAUAACUUUAUUGUUUUCAUGACCAAAUUAUGCCUCCUAAGCUUGCGACUAUUAAUAAAAUUAAUAUUUAAUAUUUAUGUUAAAAGAUAUAAGAUUUUAUGCAUUCAUUAAUUGUUAUUAGCUAAAUGAUGAAUUAUUUUUUAAACCCAAUCAGUUGAUGCAUCUGCAAGAGUUUUUUCUUUUAUUGACCAUAAUUAUAUUCCGGGUACAAUAAAUUGUCAUUGGUGCUUGGAAAAUAUGACUUCUUACUUCAAGUUUGAUAUGUCUCUCUCCAUAAGCUUACUGGAAAUAUAUCCUCAUCUACUGUCAUUUAUCUAAUAUCAAUUGAAAGAUCUCACUUUUUCAAACUAUCACUUCCAAGUCUCAUUGUCACUUAGCCAUUCUUGGACCAUUCAAAACCAAUCUGUUGAAAUAAUCAAAUAUAUGCAAAAUUAGAGUCACGAUUGUUGGUCCCCCAAAUUCUAAUUAUAUAUCUUCUAUAUAUCUCAUUGUCAGGUCACGAACUUGUUGGCAUAUUUUCCAAAUUCCUCUUCCAUCAGCUCUCACAUGUUAACUUGAGUGGAAAGUUUCCAAGUUGAUUGCUAGAAAGCAACGCAAAAUCAGACACACUUGAUCUAUCCCCUAAUUCUCGUUUCUACGUUGAAAAAGAAAGUAUAUAUAUAUAUCUAUGUAAAAAUAAAUAAUAAACUGAGUAAAAGUACAUUUGUUUAAUUAACAUCUGAUCGGGGCAUUUUUGGUGUAAUUUCGUGCCGUGUAAGCCACAACUAAAAUCAAACAGCCCCUUAGCAUACUUCUUCCAUAUUAUCUGCUACUUUUGUGGAUCUUAUAGGGUGGGCAUGUGGACAGAAUUUAAAAGUUUUAAUAGUCUCAAAGAAUAAGAUAUGUUAAAGCUAAAGUUGUUGCACCUUCUAAUUAAAUAAAGUUGCAUAAUUUCACCAACUUGAAAGAAUUGACAUUAAUGGACUGGUCCCCUCUCCAUAUAUGAAGCCUUCUUAAAAGUUAAUUUUUAUUUCAGAAAAAAAAAGUUUAAGUUACAUAUAUUACAGUAAGAUUUUUUGAGACCAAUUCCCUUCUUCAAAUGAUAAUGGAAAAGUAUUAAUUUAAAAAUAGCAUGAAUAUGUAUUGAUUAUAUCUUGAUUUUCAUCAAUUAUAGUCAGAGUUUCUCCAAAUCAAUUCCCUUAUUCAAAUAAUACAGAAAAUAAUUUAAUAGUAAAAUAAAUAGGUGUUGAUUAUAUAUCCUAAGUUUCAUCGAUUAUGUGAUCAAAGUGGCAUUGUUGAUUUAUUUCUUGUUCAAUGUUAAUUAAUUUUAGGGGAAUAUUCGGCCAACCUCUGUAAUUUCAGAGUGAUCAUUAAUUAAUUAAACGAUACAAAUAUCUAAAGUGAUUAGAUGUUUGCUGACAAUACAAGUUCAUGGCUUGAAAUUUGAUCUCUAUCGAUUGGUUUACAAAUGGACGCACUUGUGCCUUUGUGGCGAUAAUUGAACAGAGAUGUGAAGUUGUAAAGAUUUGGCAGUAGUAAAUUGUUAUAAAGACAUAAUGACAAGUUCCCAUGAUUAGUAUUUUUUUCCAAAAACUUUGUUACAACAAAUUCAUCUCGCCCAAAAAUUCUAUUUUGCUAACUAACAAUAAUUGAGCACUUGGCCGCAUUGACUCCACGUCUCCACCUACUUUGUAAGUAAAAACAUGGAAAUGUAAUCUCCACAAAAUGCCAAACGUGUGGAAUUUAAUUUUUGGCCUUGUGAAUCAAAAUGCAAAUGAAAGAAAAAGAGAGAAAAAAACAAGGCCCAAAGACUACGAAAAGAUAUAAAAGUCUUUGGGCCUUUUUAUAACGGCGAAUUUUUUAAAAGGCAAAAAUAACAACACUUCUAUGGUUUGUUUUGAUAAUCACAUUUACAUAUACUCUCUAAUUUUCAAAAUGGACACAUAAAUCUUUUUUUUUUCUACAAAUGUAUAUUAUUCGUAUUUUUUAUUAUUUUUAAUAUCAUAUUGUUAUUUAUUAUAAAUGUUUAAAGUAAAUUUUUAGGUUAAAAUAUAAUAAAAGGGUAUAAUCGUUCUCUUAUUAAACACCCAUACUUUUAGUUUCUAUCCAUUUGUCAUCUCAAUCUCUCUCAAUUAUUCUUUAUUGCUAGCUCAAAACGCGUUGCUGUUGCAAAUUAUAGCAAAAAGACAAAUAUGGAAAAGAAAAAAGGGAAGAAAAUUAGUGCAUGAAAGACUUGGAGAAAACAACGAAGUAAGUCAACUAUAAUCUAGCUGGGUGUAUAAAUUGUUUGAUGCUUUAUAAGCAAAUAACAAACAGAGACAGACAGUGUGUGUUCGUUUUUUCAUAGUUAAAGAUAUAGUUAGAAUGGGUGGUUCAAAAUCAAAAAUGGCGAUAAUGUUUGUUAUGUUAUUAAUAAUAUUUAAAAGUGGGUGGAGUGAGGGAUGUUUGGAUCACGAGAGAUUUGCUCUUUUGCGACUGCAACAUUUCUUCAAUGAUCCUCGUAAUUCUCUUUACAACUGGGUCGAUGAUGAGGGAGCUACUGAUUGUUGUCAGUGGGAAAGGGUUGAGUGCAGCAACACCACAGGCCGAGUGAUAGCGCUAGACCUUUUUGAAAUGUAUUCGGGAGAGUACAGCUGGUAUCUGAAUGCUUCUUUGUUUACUCCCUUCCAACAACUUGAGUCACUUGAUUUAACUGCCAACAAAAUAGCCGGUUGUGUUGAGAAUGAAGGUGCUUCGUUUAAUUUAAUUAAUUUACUUUCUCCCCCCUAAUUUAAGUUGAAUAUCAAGACCGAGCAACUAUACGCAUAUUCAUUUAGUCGACAAUUUUGACUUUUUUUUAAGUGAUUAAUUAAUUUUAAAAUUACACCAAUAUCUAUGAUCUUUUUUUUUUUUAAUUUUGCUUGCAGGUCUAGAGAGGCUAUCAAGAUUGAACAACUUGAAGAUGCUUAAUUUAAGUGAAAACUCUUUGAACAAUAGCAUUUUAUCAUCUCUAACUCAUCUUUCAUCAUUAAGCUCAUUAAAUUUAUUUUUAAAUAGAUUGGAAGGAAGUAUUGACUUUAAAGGUACAUAAUUAAAACUUCAUCCCUUCUCCAAGCUCUUUCAUUAACUUGCUAAAAUAAGACUCAAGGCUUUGAAUUCAAUUUUUUUUAUGAUUAGUAUUAAAAAAAACAGUUUUAAGCAAUUUAUAAAUACAAGUUUUAAUGGUUAUCGUAAUUUCAUCUUGUAAUUUCAUAUGUCUUGAAUUUAAGAUUAAAAAAAACUCUAAUAGCGAACCAAACACCUCCACAACUUAUUAUUAUUAUUAUUAUUAUUAUUAUUUGUGGUGAGGUUGGAAACAUUCAACUUAAUUUGUACUUAUUACAGAAUUUGAUUCUUUGAGAGAUUUAGAGGAGCUAGACAUUGGCGGGAACAAGAUUGACAAAUUUGUGGUCUCAAAAGGUACUACAAAUACCACAAAAAAUGUAAACUUUUACAAAUUAGCUGGAUUCUUUGCCAUUUGGUUUAUUAUUUUACAGGUUUGAGUAAGUUGAAGUCUCUUGAUUUAAGUGGUAUCAAACUCAACCGUAGUAUCUUAUCUUCUCUAACUGUCUUUUCUUCAUUAAGAGAAUUACAUCUACGUAAUAUCAUAUUCAAAGGAACAUUUGAUGUUCGAGGUAAGCCUAAGCCUUGCUUUCUCAUUUUCUAUAUGCCAACUAGAUUUGUGUAUCAUCGGCAUAAUUUAAUAUUUAAUUUGAUAAGUCUGAAGGAAUUACAUGCUAAUUUAAACAUACUUUUAUUUACUUUGUCAAUUAAUUAAUUAAUUAAUUACUAUUUGACAUUGGACGGUUCCUCUCUCCAUAUAAGCCUUCUGCAAAGCAUUGCAUCAUUCACUUCGUUAAAAAAUCUGUCGAUGUCUGAUUGUGAAGUCAAUGGUGUCCUACGUGGUCAAGGUAAAAGAAAAGUGUUGAUUGUGAAUAAGCUGUUAAUUAAUUAAUGUUGUUGCUCCUUGCUUCUAAACAGAGUUGCGCAAUUUCACCAACUUGGAAUAUUUGAAUUGGAUUCUUCCUCGCUCCAUAUAAGCCUUCUACAAUUGCUUGAACAAUUUAUUUAUUUAUUUAUUUAUUAUUAUUGUUGUUGUUGUUGUUGUUGAAGUGGGGUGGGCAAGCGUUCACUCAGUUAAUAUGUGGGGAAUUAAAUAUUACAAUCCAAGGUAGAAUUGUGGAAAAUUAAAGCUAAAUGAGAAAUAUGGAAAGAAAGGAAGAAAGUUAAGGGCAUGAAAGACUGGGAGAAUACUAAAAACCACCAAAUAAGUCAACUGAAAACUAGCUGAGGCCUGGGUGUACAAAUUGUUAGAUGUGUUUGUUAUAAAUAACAUAGAGCCAUCUUGUUGGUUGCAGAGGCAGAGAGACAGAGAGUGUGCAUUUUGUCCAGUUAAAAAUGAUAAAAUUUAUCAUUUGUUUAUAUUGAUUUAUUAACUCUAUUUUAAGUCUUAAGUCUUGGCGUCUUGGCAUGUUUGCAGAAUUUGAUUCCUUGAGCAACUUAGAGGAGUUGGACAUGAGCGGCAAUGAAAUAGACAAUUUCGAGGUUCCUCAAGGUACACAAUUAAAAUAUUAUUUAAUUACAUUAAUUUAAUUCGUUUGAUUAGGGAAGGCCCAAAAUGUACAAAAACAUAAUUAGAAAAAAUAAAGAAACAGAGAAUUCAUAUUAUUUCAAAUAACAAAAGGUAAUACUAUUAUUUCAAAAACAGAUUGUAAUAAAGAUUUGAUUCCAAUUCUUUAAUCUUUACAGUGAUUGAAAAACGAUACUACUUCCCAAAGCAUAAAAUACGAAUUGACUCUCAAUUAAAUUAAUCAUUUAUUUCGUUUAGGUCUAAAUUUAGAAAAAUGAAUUUUGAUUCUCUUGAAUCAUUUCCUAAUUAUUAUUAUUCAACAGGUUACAGAGGUUUGAGGAAGCUGAAAAGCCUGCAUCUAUCGGGAGUUGGAAUUAGAGAUGGAAGCAAGUUGUUACAGUCAAUGGGAUCAUUUCCAUCCCUCAACGCUCUUUACCUGAGCAAUAAUAAUUUUACCGGUACAACGUCAACUACUCAAGGUAAGUAAAAGGUACAGAUGUGGCCAAAUUUAUAAAUAAACUGUUAAUUAAUUAAUUUUCUGUAUUAUUAAUAAAGCUAAAUUUUUUGCUCAUUCCUUCUAAUUCUAAACAGAGUUGCACAAUUUCACCAACUUGGAAUAUUUGACAUUGGACGAUUCCUCUCUCCAUAUAAGCCUUCUGCAAAGCAUUGCAUCAAUAUUCCCUUCGUUGAAAAAACUGUCGAUGUCUUAUUGUGAAGUCAAUGGUGUCGUACAUGGUCAAGGUAAAAGAAAAGUGUUGGUUGUGCACUCACUCAGUGGUGUCCUACGUGUUCAAUAUUUUUAUUUAUUUAUUUUAUUGUUUAAUGAGAUGCUUCCACCCUCCCCUUUAAAUCUAUAAUAUUAAUUUUCGAUUAAUAUAUAAUUAUAGAAACCAAUCACUUAUAAAAGAAUGCUAUGCAUUUGCCAAUUUUUUUAUAUUUUACUGAUUGAUGAAUUAAUAAAUUUUCAGGCCUCUGUUCGUUGGUGCAUCUACAAGAGUUGUACAUUGCAACUCUUGUAGUAAUUAAUUAAUUAAGUAUUAGUUAAUUAAUUAAUUAAUUAAUUUUCUGUAUUAUUAAUAAAGCUAAUUUUUUUGCUCAUUCCUUCUAAUUCUGAACAGAGUUGCACAAUUUCACCAACUUGGAAUAUUUGGCAUUGGACUCUUCCUCUCUCCAUAUAAGCCUUCUGCAAAGCAUUGCAUCAUUAUUCCCUUCAUUAAAAAAUCUGUCGAUGUCUAGUUGUGAAGUCAAUGGUGUCGUACGCAGUCAAGGUAAAAGAAAAGGGUUGAAUGUGAACUCACUCAAUGGUGUCCUACGUGUUCAACAUUUUUAUUUAUUUAUUUUAUUGUUUAAUCUUUCUGCUAGGUUUUCCUCAUUUCAAGAGUUUGGAACAUUUUGACAUGGAUUUCACGCGCAUUGCACUCAACACUAGCUUUAUUGCACUCAACACUAGCUUUCUUCAAAUCAUCAGUGAAUCGAUGCCUUCUCUUAAGUACUUAUCACUAUCAUAUUAUACUCUUGGAACUAAUAGCAGCGGGACUCUUGAUCAAGGUUAACGAGAUGCUCCCACCCUCCCCUCCUAAUCUAUAAUAUUAAUUUUUUAUUUAAUAUAAUUACACAAACGAAUCACUUAUAAAAGAAUGAUAUGCAUUUGUUAAUUUUUUUAUUGUACUGAUGGAUGAAUUAAUAAAUUUUCAGGCCUCUGUUCGUUGGUGCAUCUACAAGAGUUGUACAUUGCAAGCAAUGAUUUAAGAGGUAGCUUGCCUUGGUGCAUGGCAAAUAUGACAUCCCUCAGAAUAUUAGAUGUUUCUUCUAAUCAACUUACUGGAAGCAUCUCCUCAUCUCCCCUCGUUCAUUUGACAUCCAUUGAAGAGCUGAUGCUUUCAAACAAUUACUUCCAGAUCCCAAUUUCACUUGAACCACUUUUCAAUUACUCAAGACUCAAGAUUUUCAAUGCUGAGAACAACGAAAUAAAAGCUGAAAUAACUGAGUCACAUUCUUUGAUCGCCCCAAAAUUCCAAUUAAAUACUCUCUCAUUGUCUUCCAAUUACGGAGACGGUUUCAUAUUCCCCAAAUUCCUUUACCAUCAACAUGACCUGGAGUAUGUUGAUCUCUCACACAUAAAGAUGAAUGGAGAAUUUCCAAAUUGGUUGUUGGAAAACAACACAAAAUUAGAAACUCUUUUUCUGGUUAAUGAUUCUCUUGCAGGACCUUUUCGGUUGCCAAUUCAUUCACACAAGCGGUUAAGACAGUUGGAUGUCUCCAACAACAACAUUCGAGGCCACAUUCCAGUAAAAAUUGGAGAUGUUUUACCAAGUUUAUACGUUUUCAACAAUUCCAUGAAUGCUUUAGACGGUAGCAUUCCCUCUUCAUUUGGUAAUAUGAAAUUCCUCCAAAUUCUGGACUUAUCCAACAAUCACUUGACUGGUGAAAUCCCCGAGCACUUGGCCGUGGGUUGCGUCAACUUGCAGUUUCUUGCAUUAUCAAAUAACAACCUACAAGGUCAUUUGUUCUCUAGAAAUUUUAACUUGACAAACUUGCAAUGGUUACAAUUGGAGGGCAAUCGCUUCGUAGGUGAGAUCCCACAAAGUUUGUCUAAAUGCUCCUCACUAGAAGGAUUGUACCUUAACAAUAAUAGUCUUUUAGGUAAGAUUCCACGAUGGUUGGGUAAUCUGACACGGUUACAAUAUAUUAUAAUGCCCAAUAAUCAUCUUGAAGGCCCUAUUCCAGUGGAGUUUUGCCAGCUUGAUUCGCUUCAGAUUUUGGACAUUUCAGACAACAACAUAUCUGGAAGUUUACCAUCUUGUUUCCAUCCUCUCUCUAUCAAACAAGUUCAUCUUUCAAAAAAUAUGUUACAUGGACAGCUAAAAAGAGGUACAUUCUUUAAUUGCUCUUCCCUUGUGACAUUAGAUCUUAGCUAUAACCGCUUGAAUGGCAGCAUUCCGGAUUGGGUUGAUGGGCUUUCUCAGUUAAGCCACCUUAUCUUAGGUCACAAUAAUCUUGAAGGUGAAGUGUCAGUUCAAUUGUGCGAAUUGAACCAACUACAAUUGUUAGAUCUUUCUAAUAAUAAUCUUCACGGUCCUAUUCCUCCUUGCUUUGAUAACACCACACUUCAUGAAAGUUACAGCAAUAGUUCUAGUCCUGAUGAGCAAUUUGAAAUAUUUUUUUCCAUCGAAGGCCAUCAGGGAUUUUUAGAAAAGCAAAACCAUGAAAUUUUUGAGUUCACAACAAAGAACAUUGCGUACAUUUACCAAGGAAAAGUGCUUAGCCUCCUAUCAGGACUUGAUCUUUCUUGCAACAAGCUAAUUGGUCAUAUUCCUCCUCAAAUUGGAAAUUUGACAAGGAUUCAAACAUUGAAUCUCUCGCACAAUAACUUGACAGGAUCGAUCCCAUCAACAUUUUCAAACUUGAAGCAUGUCGAAAGUUUGGAUCUUUCCAACAACAAAUUGAAUGGGAAAAUCCCUCAUCAACUAGUGGAGUUAAAGACAUUGGAGGUUUUCAAUGUGGCAUACAAUAACUUAUCAGGCGAAAUUCCAGAAUGGAAAGCACAAUUUGCAACCUUCAACGAGAGUAGCUAUGAGGGAAAUACUUUUCUUUGUGGACUGCCAUUGCCCAUUUGCAGAUCACCAGCAACUAUGCCGGAGGCUUCAAUUGGCAAUGAACAAGAUGAUAAUUUAAUUGAUAUGGACAGUUUCUUUAUCACAUUUACAACAUCGUACGUAAUUGUGAUAUUCGGAAUUGUUAUUGUUUUAUAUGUAAAUUCUUAUUGGCGACGUAGAUGGUUUUACUUUGUUGAAAUGUGGAUAACUUAAUGUUACUAUUUUGUUGUAAACAAUCUUAUUGCAACAAGAUAUUGUCAUUGAAAUUAAUUAGCAGUUUAAUUACGAUUCUUUAAGUUCUAAUCAAGUUUGCUUAGGAAAUAAUUUUUUUUUUAUUUUUUUAUUAAAAUUGUAGUAGUAUUUAGCGCUAUAUAGCUUCCAACUUGGUAGAAAGCUCCAUUUUUUGUUGGCUACAGUAAAAGCAUGUUGUUUUAUUCUUCUUAUACUUUACGCCUGCAUCAGCUUAAAUCACUUCUUAAACGCUUGCUUUAACUGCACCGCUUCGUACUGCUCUAUAUAUGUAACGGUUAUGCGGUUGUAGCUCACGGCUCAAGCUACGCGUUUGUUUGACGUGGUAGUUACGUUAUGAUGUUUCGAGUCUGUUAAACAUUCGGUGAUAAGAUUAGUUACAACAAACCUACUAGUUUUAUAAAAUUCAAGUGAGAUGGAAUAAAAUAAAAAAUAAAUAUAAAAUUGGCUUUUAUUUUUUAGGUUAACCAUAUUUUGUGUUCUCUUCGGGCACUACUACAAUUGUUCCCUAUACAUCAGUUACACUCACGUAUCAUCGACACGAAAAAUGAAAUCUAAUAUCACCUGUUUAGUUAAAGAAUCACUCAUGAAAAAAAAUUACCAUUUUGAUUUGAAGAUCCAUAUUUUGAACUACCAAUUAAUGUUCAUCAAGAACAGAGUGUGGCCGUUAAGUAGAAAAACUAUUUUUGGACAAAUUAUUAAAUUCCAAUAUUGUAUCCAUAUGCAAACGAUGCCUGAAGCAGAGCCUCCAAACAAUGACCAGGGCACAAAACAAGAGUGUAGUAAUCAAGUGUAUUGUCUCAUAAUCAAUUAAAAGCAGAUAUACAGGAUACCAUAUUCAAUUCCAAAAUAACAAAAGCAUAAUGAGGAUGAGAAGAACAAUGAUCACUCAAAUAUUUCUUCACUUUGGUUGUCAAUUAUCUAUUCAAAUUAAUCAGUGUCAUUAUGGACUUAUUUAUUUAGAAGAGCGGGUGAUAAAUAUAUUCAAUAAUGUGAACAAGAAGUUGAUUAACUUUUAUGAUCAUUUGGAAGGUCGGCGUGUCAUCACUCGUCAAACACAUUGCAUCGAUCCACCAGCAUGAACCGACCGGAUUAUGCCCAAAAGUUGAAAUAUCAAUAAAAAAAACAAUUAAUUAAAGGUCGAAGAUGGGUCCUUUACAUAUGUUUUUGUUUUCGUAUUAGGUAGGAGGUUAUUAUAUUAUAUCAUGUAAUUAAUUUAUUAUUACUCAACACUAAGUAAUAACUUAACUAUAUAAAGACAACAAGAAGAUAAAAUGAUAUAUAAAAAAAAAAAGAAUUUCAAAGAGAUAGCAACAUACAAUAGACUGAAGCCAUUUGAUCUGCUCAUUGAUUUCAGCCUUAAACUUGUAAAUAGUUACUGUCAAAUAUUCUAUUCAUACGAAAAAAAUGUUUAGAUAUCUUACUAUAAAUAUAGCCGUUUGACUGUCUUAAUAAAGUCACACACAACCAUUCUUAUUAAAUUAGCAAGAUCAAACACUGCCCUGGAUCUUGAACAGAUCAACACAAGAUGCACAACUUAUGAUUGAACCCAGAAACAAUCAAAUCUUUAGCAAGAACAAUUAAUCAGAGUCAAGAAACAAGUUUAAUGAAUAUAAACCUAUAAUUGAAACAAACAUAGCCAAGAAAAAAAUACAGAUUUUACACGGUUCAGUUGUACCUAGGAUGGCACAACCUACACCACGAGAGAAGCUUUCUGGUGAGAUUUUAUUGAUGAUCAAAGAAGAAUCUUUUGACAAAGCUAAUAAUAGAGAUUUCAGAGAAUAAGCUGUAACCCUCUCUCCCUCUUCAAUCUCUCUCUAUUUUGUUCCCAUUGAUGACCCCAAUCUGCUUAGUUAUCCAGCUUUAUAGCUGCAUCAGUAACAAACCAGCAAACCCAGAUUGAGCAGAUUGACGACACGUGGAUAACGGCUUUAACGAACCUGGUUAAGAACUGCUCACAUGUUCGUCACGCGUGCUGCUUAAAUGAUGGCCAAAACGACUUCAAACAAAUGUCGUUUUGAGGCUUAUGAAUUACAAGUGAUAACACGAGCUUGUCUCAUGACUUUUAAAUGCAACAACGUGCCCACAACGCCGUCGUUUUACUCUGUUGAGUUUGAUUCAUUACUAAGCUUUACGACUGGCAAUGGAGAAGAUGAUAAUUUAAUUGACACGGACAGUUUUUAUAUCACUUUUACAACAUCCUAUGCAAUUGUAAUAUUGGGAAUUAUUGAUGUUUUAUUCUGUGAAUCCUCAUUGGCAAAAACUAGUGGUUUUAUCUUUGUUGAAAUAUAGAUGACCUCUCGUUACUGUUUUAUUAUAAACAUAUAGUUUCGUAAGUGAAACUAUAUGUUUAUAAUAAAAUUAACAUAUAGUUUUGUUACAUUUCUGCCUCAUUAAGAUUCUCAAAUACCAGUCAGGUUUGCUUAAGAAAUAAAUUUUUUCCAUUAAAAUUGCAGUAGUAUUUCCAAGCAUAUCGCAUUUUCUAUGAGUUUUCAUAAAUUAAUUAAUCUGCGGUGCCAAUAUCAGAUUUAGUUUUUCAAACUAAAUAAUCAAGAAAGCAAACAUACAAAUAUACAGUUUAGAGGGGUAAACUAGGUAGGUGGUUUAGAUUUUAGAACUAAGCCAGCUACCUCGCUAAAUUCCGAUUCGUACAGUGAACUGCAAGAAACUGAGAAAACAAUGUAUUUAUAAUUUAAUAGAAUCAUAAGAAAACAAUGCAGUCAUUGCUCAAUAUAAGAUGAUGAUUUCGGAGAGGCACAUUGUUUUCAAGUUAAUUUGAUCCGUUUAUAAGAGAUGAAGUGGAAUGAAGUUGAAAGUUUAAAUAACAAAUCCUUGUUCUUGAGUUUUACGACGUCGUUACUCCUUCAAGUGGCAGAUUAUGCAAGUGAAUGCAGAAACACAAUGCAUCAUCCGCGGGGAUGAUACAUCAAAAGGCGGGAUUUGUUUAUGCCUGCAGAUUAGCAAUUUCACUCAUAUAGAAAAUUAAUUUUUUAUAUAUACUAAUCAACACUAAAUUGAUUAUGUGUUGUAUGUUUAUAUGCUAAUCAACACGAAAUUAUAUUGAAUUAUUAACAUUCAUAUUCCUAAUAAAAAUUAUUUUCCAUCAGUAUUCAAAAUUUUCACUUAUAGAAAAUGCGUUUUACGUGAAUACUAGUUAUUGUGUAAAUUUGAAUGAUAGCGAAAAAUAAACCUAUUUGAAAACUGUAAGGGUGUGUUGGGAUAUUUUACAACUGUCGGAAUCUGGUAGGAUAUUGCACCAUUUGCCCAAUAUUUUUAGACGUACUCCAACCGGUAUUCAAGAUAAGUAAAAUUUACAAGCGUGGCAAAAUAAAAAAAAAUUAAAUUCGUAACUUGUAAACGAAUUUUCCUGACAUGUAUAGUAAAUGAAGUUGUUGAUCCUUUCUUUGGAUUAUUUCAGCUCUGGUUGUUGGUCACCGAUGAGCCGAAGUCUUAUUUUAAUUUUAUUUAAACUCAUCAUAAGAUUCGUGGAGCACCUAACUAACUUAACUGACUGCGCAGAUCAUCUCAACAUGGCAUAUUUAACCAUCAUUCAAGUGAUGGGUUUAAUAAGACUGCUUUUGUUCUAUCAACUAUCAAGUUCCUCUGCCUCUAAGCAGAAUUACUAUUGAAGGGCCAAAAGGAAAAUGAAAACGUGUGAGCUCCAACAACCACCCCACAAAUUCAAUGACGAUGCUCGGAGAGGGUUAGGUUGGGCCUCUGAGAAAAAAAAAAAUUAUUUUGUUAAAAAGUUACCCUUAUUGAAACCUGUAUAAACAUUUUAUAUUAAUUAGUUAUGUCGCCUCUUCAACGAUGAUCAAAUUCUUAUCUGAGCUCAUCAUUUAAUGAGUAAACAUGUAUUUUAAUGAUCUCAAUUAAUAUUUAGAACAAAUAUUUUAAGAAGUAAAGCUCAUUAUAUCUUCCAUUAUUAUGUAUUUCUUUAAUUUCUUAUUUACAUAAUUAUAUUGUACAUUAAAAAUGUAUUGAAUUUGAAGAAAAAAAAAUUCAACUCAAAAAAAAAAAAUGCUGGUAGCUUCGUAAUAAUUACUGUAUUGACUGCACCAGAUAAAGUUUUGUAAAAUAAUAAGUUCUCAUAAGUGGUUUUUCAUUUUUAAUUUUCUUUUCCGGCACACCUGAUCAAGAAUUCUAUUUUGUUAACUAAUCAAUUGCAAAGCAUAAGUGUUGAACGGUACAAAAAAUUUAAAAAAAAUACACUUAAAACGUGGGGUGGGUAACGGCUCACUCAAAUCGUUAGGUAGAAUUGUGGAAAACUAAAGCGAAAUGAGAAAUAUAGAAAGAAAGGAAGAGGUGAUGUUUUUCUAUGAAUUUCUAUGGGUAACGGCUCACUCAUCCUUCUAUGAAUUUCUAGCUGUAUUGACCCCAACUGCUAAAGUUUUGUAAAAUAAAAAUAAAAAUAAAAAACUGGAAUUUCAACAAAAUUCAAAACGUUUGAAAUUUAAUUUUUGGCCAUGUGGAACAAAAUGUAAAUUAAGUAAAAAAUAUAAAUCUCAAUUGCUUAGUAUGGUUAGGAUUUUGUGAGCAUCACUAAAAAGUGAAAACUAUGAAUGAUAGAGGUGAUGUUUGCAACAUGAAUAAAUGAUGAACUGAAUCAAUUGAUGAUCGUAAUUACAUAAUGAACAAAAUUUACAAAAUCAACAAAAGUUAAUAAAAAAUUAUUUUAAUAAUAAAAAAUCAAUAAAACUUAUUAUUUAAGGGCGCUCUAACCAUGGAAUACCAUAAUCAUAAUCUUCUUUUAAGAAAAUUAUAACUUAUUAUUUUACAGGAUUGAUCCAUUUGGAAUGAAGUGGUCUCAAGUUGAAAGUAAUUAAUUUAUUGAAUAACUUUCGACUUAUUAAUAGUUAUAUCAAAGGGUGUUUUACCUCAUCAUGUCUUCAAGUGGAAGAUGAAGACUAUGCAAGUGAAUUCAGGAAUAUUGCAUGCCUGUUGUCUAAAGCAUUACCUCACAAGGUUUCAUGAGAAACGAAAGAUGUGUUUGCUUUGAACAAUUAAAGUUACUGCUACGAACCUCCCCAAAGGUCAAGAAGACAGAACAGGAAGCUAAUGCCAUCAAUGUCUUGUUCAUUAUAGCUGCUGGGUAGUUAGGUGUAGUUUCCUCAUUUGAAGCUGUCUAUACAUAGGCAUUUCCCCUGCUUAUGUACAAAUAAAUGAACAACCUUGAAGCUUUAUUAUUCGCAACAAAAAGGGAUUACUAAUUGGAGAAGACAAUACAGAGUUUUCUCUCACACUUUCUCUCUGUCAAUUUCAUCCAGAAGUCCCUCUGAAAGCUUCUCCCAAAACAGUUAGUCAUCUUUUAUGCUCUGUUUUCUGAAAACAGAGUCCUAACUAAAUUAAUUGACUGUACAGUGCAUUUCAACAUAGCAUAUUUAACCGUUUUAACAGUUAUUUGGACCGUCUUCAGAGGUAACAUCAACAAACUCAUUCAUAUGCUUAAUAAUGAACGAAUAGUCUUGGAUCGAUGUUUUGCAGCAAGAGCAACACGACACAAUCUGGAUUCAACCUCCUCCUUUCUAACAGGGGAUUUCGAUUUGAGUUACUUUGUGCUCAAGCAAAUUCACAUCAUAGUUUUGAUUCUUUAGAUAUGAAUUCAUCUCAUUACAUAUAUCAGAUUAAGUGUAACAAAAUUUGUAAUUUACUGCGAAAAGAAUAUGCACUAAAAAAUGAUUUCAAGACUAUUUGACUACAAAAAGCAGCUGUCAGAGUGCACUAAAAAUUUCUGUAGGAUAUUUUGUAGCUGUUUAAUAUGUUAUGAUGGGCAUAUAAUUCUCAAAUUUUGAUGCCUCUCAGCGAAAAAUAUAUCAAAGUUACGGAUGAUAUCACGUAAAACAUGCAUGGCUCAGGCUCAGGCUCAGGUAAGAAAGCCACAGAAAAGGAAAAUCUCACUGUCACGACUCACGUCACGCAUCAUUCAAGUGAUGGAUUUAACAAGACUGCUUAUGUUCUAUCAAAUUCCUCUGCCUCUCAGAAGAUAACUUUUCUGGGCCAAAUUUCUCAUCUAAAGCAUAUUAUGCCCCAAAGUCACAGAUAACAAAAUGGGGCACUACCGAUUAUGAAAGAGAACUAGUAGUUGUCAGAAGCCUAAGCCAAAUUCCGGUAGUAAGAAGAGGCCUUUCUUGAGUUUAGAUUAUGUGUUCGAGUUUUAAUAAAUGCCUAAGUUAAUAAUAAUAACAACAGUAAUAAUAAACUAAAAAGCAUAAUUACUAUUGAAUGGUAAAAAAAAAAAUGAAAAUGUGUGAACUCCAAUAACCACCCCAGUGGCGAAUUUUGGAGAGGGCUAGGCCGGGCUUCUUAGAAAUUAUUUUUAUUUAAUUACAAAAUCACCUUUACUGAAACCUAUAUAAAAUUUUUUAUAUUAAUUAAUUAUGUUGCCUCUUCAAUUAUCAUUAAAUUCUUGUCCGUUCAUAAUUUGAUGGACAAAUGUGUAUUUCAAUAAUUUCAAAUAAUGUCUAGAACAAAUAUUUUGAAUUAUAAAACUCAUUAUGUCCUGCAUUACUAGAUGUAUCUAUAAUUUAUUAUUUACAAAUUAUAUUGUAUGAUAAAAAUGUAUUGAAUUUUUUUUUAAAAAAAAAGUUCGGCUCACUCAGAAAAAAAUGUUAUUAGCUUCGCCACUGCACAAAUCUAGAAUAAUAAUUAUUCCUUAUUAUAUUGACUGCACCAAGCAAUAAACUAAUAAGUUCUCAUCAGUGGUUUUUAAUCUUUUUAAUUCUUUUUACCGCACACCUGAUCAAGAAUUUUAUUUUGUUAACUAAUCAAUUGCAAAGCAUAUAUAAGUGUUGAACGGUACACAAGAUUGGAAAAAAAAAUCUUAAAAAACGUGCGGAUUCGGGUGGCCACACCAGAAAUCUAUUACAAUAAUUAGCUUUGAUGCUGGGAAUCUUUUAAUUUCUGGCCGUAUUGAAGUUUUUAAAAUAACAAGUUCCCCUUCUCGUUUUUUUUUUUUUUAAAUAUAUAUGCUUAUAACAAUUUUAGAAUAAUGAUUCAUUUGUAGAAGAACUUAUGAUUUCCCAUUAAUAUUAAUAUUGAAGUGGGGUGGGUCAAAUCUCAAUUGCUUGAAGAAUUUAUGUAUUAUUAAAUAUUACCAUCCAAGGUAGAAUUGUGGAAAAUUAAAGCAAAAUGACAAGUAUGGAAAGGAAGGCUGAAAGUAAGGCAUGACGAAAGGCUUUGAGAAGGCUGAAGACUACCAAAGAAGUCAACUGAAAACUAGCUGGGGCCUGAGUGUAUAAAUUGUUAGAUGCGUUUGUUAUAAAUAACAUAGAGCCCUUUUGUUAUUUAUAGUUAUAGAGAAAGAGAGAAUGUGUGUUUUUUAAUAGUUAGAGAUAUAGCUAGAAUGGGUUGCUCAAAAUCCAAAAUAGUGACAAUGUUAGUUCUCGUAUUGAUAAUAUUGGGGGGGGGGGGGGGGGGGGGGGGGGGGGGGUGUUGGGAGGUCGAGUGAGGGAUGUUUGGAGCAUGAGCAAUUUGAUCUUUUGCGGCUUAAACAUUUCUUCAAUUAAUAUCGAUCUGGGAGAGUGGUAUCUGAAUGCUUCUCUAUUUACUUCCUUUCAACAACUUUGGUAACAAAAUAGCCGGCUGCAUGCGUUGAGAAUGAAGGUGCUUCAUUUAAUUUAAUUUACUUAAUUUCUCCCUCCUAAUUAAUGUCUAUAAUCAUUAGGAGGAACAAGGGAUUUUAUUAACUCAAAUAUAUCUAAUGGAGCUCAUUCUUUGGUUUUACUUGCAGGGCUAGAAGCAGGUGUCAUCUAACAGCUGCUUUGAUAAUUUCCCUCCCCUUCAUCUUUGAUGGAAAGAUGAAAUAAAAACAAAUUGGUGAAAAUGGUAUUGGUACCUGAGGCUAUGUAAUCUAAUUCAAAAACUGCACCAUCAAAACGAUUACAUAAGUCUCAGAAGAAUCAAAUAUCAGUUUGCAAAAUAUCAAUUGCUGGAGGUUUGAUUCUAACUUCCGCUCUUCAUUUUUAUGGGCAUAUUGUGUUGUACUUGGCAUCCGAAAAUCAUAUUUUAGUUUACUUGCACUCAAUGCUUGGAUUAAAGUUUUUUUUUGGGGGGGGGGGAUUGAAGAAGACUAAAAUUACACCAAAAAAGAGUUGAGCGAGAGCGGGUUUUGUCUUCAUUUAAGGAGCUCUUUAUAAAUUUUGGGAUUUUUUUCCUGAGAAAAUUUAUGCCAACUCAUUCUUUGCUUCUUUUCUGAAGGGACACAUGCAACCGAAAGUAUAUUCUUGAAUUCUCCAGGAUAAGAGACAUACGUUUAGAUUCUGGAGCAUUUAAAACAAUGUCAAAUUUUAGAUUGCUGAAAUUUUAUAUAUCCGAGUAUGAUGGUGUUCCAAUUAUAAGCUCCAGGGUGCAACUUCACUGAGGUUUAGAAUGCCUUCCUAUAGAAUUGAGAAAUCUCCAUUGGCAUAAAUAUCUUUUUGAAAAUACUGACAUCAGAUUUUGAAUUGGAGAACCUGAUUGGACUCAGCUUGCCCUGUAGUAAGGUUAAGCAAAUUUGGAAAAGAGAAAAGGUAUAAUGUAUUACUAUUACCAAAGUAUCUAUUUUUCUUUCUUUAAGUAUUUAUAAUGAAUAACUUUGAAAUUCAAUGAUGCUCAUUUAGUAUAGUUAUGUAUCUUUGGUUAUAGGAAGCUGUCAAGUUAAAAUCUAUAGACCUUCACCACCCCUUUAUCUCAAUAGGAUCCCAGAAAUACUAAAUCUUAAAAAAAUAAAUCUUUCAAAUUGUGAAAGCAUGCUUACGUUACCCCCGUAUAUCCACAAUUUCAACUAGCUGAGUAUGUUGUGUUUCAGGGAUGCAAAAUUCAUUUUGUUUCUCAUUGAAAGGAUUGACUUGUCCGGAUGUAUUAGGGUUAGUAAACCAACUAAUCCCAUAAUUUGUUGAUGUAGGGUCCUAACAAAUUAUUGCAGUAGAUUGUAGAUCAGUACACUAUUCGAAAACGUAUUUGAUCCACACAGUGAAGUGGAUAUUGGACCAAUUUGAUGAUAAUGAAUUUCUUUCAAUCUCAAUCUUUUUUCUUUUUAGCAACAUGACUAGUCAUUGUGCAAAUUCAAACUCUGACAAUAAUUUCUCAAUCGGUUUCUAAGAUGAUGACCAUGCAUGUAUAUGUAUAUUGCGUGUGUAUAUGUGUGUGUGUGUAGAGAGAGAGAGAGAGAUCACACGUGUGUGAUUUCCUUUUGCCAAUAGGAUAUGCAAGAGAGCUUGAUCUUACCCAAUAGCGAAACAAACUUCCUAAUAAGUGAAGGUAUAGUAUAAAUACUUAUACUUUCAUGUUAUUUUGUUCAUCAGUAGCUUGAUUAUUUUAUAUGCGUCUUCGAUUUUAAUUUUCUUUCCCUAUAAUCGCUAUUAUCUUUGAACUGGUCAUAAUUUGCCCAUAAGAUUUCUCAUGUUGUUUUGAGGUGCAACGGAUUUUGAAUUAGUGACAAGCAGUGGAAGCCAGAAGGCAAAUUAUGAAAAUGGAUAAAGAUCUAUAAUUAGCUGUUAUGGGAUGUCACAUAUCAUAUUGAUGGUAACGUUAUAUAUAUGUACAUAUAAUUAAUGGGGUUGGCUCACGAGCCCAUUAAUUAAUGGUUAUAUUAGCUUAUAUACUUCAAACAAUGUACUAUGAAGCAAUUUCACAAAUACUUGUUAGCUUAUGUUGAGCUUUAUUGAAUCAGUAGUUCACAGUUCAAUAAAAUGCAGGUUUGCUAUUUGAAGUACAUGGUUAUGGUGCGUACAUUCUUCAUAAGGCUAACUACUAAUUUAUCAUUGAAACUUGAAAAAUGUGAUAGAGAGAUGUAGAUAACAGCCGCAAAACACUGAAUUGAAAAUCAGGGCUACUAAAUUCUAUUAAAAGUCCUUAAAAUAGACAGCGAUCACCCUGAAAUGUAUAUACUGAAACUAAGAAAAUAUUAAUCGCAAAGUUAUGCAUUAAUAGAACUAUUGACUACUUAUCUUUAGCAUAAAGUAUAUUUUUAACUACAGCUUUCUGCUUUGUUCUAAGAACUAGGCAAAAGUGGUGUAUCUUCAAUCCAAUCAACAUAUAUACCACUUAUCUUCCUCUUCACUUCUGUCUAUUUUGAUUUGCACUUCAUAUCCUGCACUUGCUGCUUAGAAAUAGUCUUUAUUCUGGACAUUUGAAAGUAGAAAAAGUACUUGAAACAAUCAUUGGCACAGCCCGAGAUUCCAUUGAAUCGUGGACUCCAAGCUUUCAUAGUUCUAUAAAGAAGAUGACAAAACUUCAUACAACUGGCAUUCUGCUUUUAACAUUUGCACAACCUGAGCGAGUUAGCAAGCCCCUUGUUGCGUUCCCAUUGAAUAGACCUACUUCUGUUAUCCGCAGAAGAUCCACCACUCAAAAUGUUUAUCACCAGGCUAUUCCUUAAAACUGAGCCUAAACUGAGUAGAACUUCCGCACAUCUCUCAGCAUUUACAUGAAGAAAUCGGACAACUAUCCUCAUCUCUCAGCACAUCUCUUCAGCAUUCUACAAAGUUGCAUUUCACUAAGCAAUCUAUCCUCUCCAUUCCUAGCAAAGUGACAUUGAUUCCCGUAUUUGUAAUCGCCUAACUUGGGUUUUGGGCAUAGCGUGGUCUUAAAAUUACCACCCCAAUACUUUGUUCAGUGCCACUGGCAUCCACAAGCUCUAGCCCUGUUAGUUGAAUCAUAUUCAAUGGGACAGUGAGGCAGCAUUUCACUAACAUUAUUCAAUUUGACUACUUAUAUUGACGCAAAUAUUAGAAUUUGAAAUCACUUCUUUUAUUGGAAUAUUAUAUUAAUAUGACCCCAAAUGAAAGUUCUUGAAUGGAAAUGAUUUUUAUUUACUUUUCGAACAGAUUCAAGAAAAACCCAGGAGAACACAAAAUUUACACAGUAAUAUGAUUAAGAGCUGAGAACGUAUAUGUAGUAAAUGUCUAUCAAAAACACCCAAGGGUUUCUUUAAAAAUUAGUAACUAGUAAACAAAAAGAAAGAAUCAUUUUACAUUUUUAGCAACUUUGGGGUGAGUGAGUGAGUGAGAAAUUGAAACCCUCAAGUGAUGACAACAGUAAGAUUCCAGUAUGAAGUGAAACCCCAAUUUGAAAUGUAGGCAUGAGUUGCUGAGUCAGUAGAUGAAGCUAUAAAUAGGCAUUCGGUUUCCUUCUUUUCGGUUUGGAGGGCCAUGGAAUAGUGUAUUGGAGUGGGCUCCAAGUAAUAGCCUCUAUCACUGGAACGACACAUCUAUAAAAUGUGAUACAUGGGGAAGGAUUGGGCAUUUUAUUCUUAGAUUAGCCCCUUAUUUAGGGUGUAUAUUAAGCAGAUUAUAUAUUACAUGGAGAUGGAGUUUAUGAAAUAGAUUAAAAAGAAAAGGAAAUUUUUGGUGCCCUAAAGUUUGCCACUUGGAAUAUUUCGGUGUCUAAAAAUUCACUCACCACUUAUUUCAUGUUUGAUUAUAUGUUGAAAAGAUAUUAAAAUAGUAUAAUGCUAUUAAGGCUUAACGUAUAUUUUUUAUUAGUAGAGUGGUAGAAUUUUUAAGAAAUAAAUUAUUAAAUUAUUAUAACUAACAUAUUAUUUUAAAGUUGUGUUAUGAAAAAAAUGAAAUAAAAAUGUACAGUAAAUAAGAAUAUUUUAAAACUUUUAUCUUUUUAAAAUUAGUUUUUAACAUAAGGUGAACUAUUUUUUUUUUUUAAAAUCACAUAUUCUAGUUAAAAUCAAAUAUGUAUUUAUACGAAGCUUGUAAAUUUUUUUUUUUAGUACUGAUAUUUUGAAUAUUAUCAAUAAAAAAAAGGUAAUGUUCAUGCUGCAUUAUUUUUGUAGCACACAAAAGGACAACACCGUUUAUGUUAUAAUACUAUCGCUUCUGUUAUGAUAAUUUUUUUUGUGGCCAAAUAUCUUUUUUUUUUUUAAGUAAAAAAAGUGGACAAAAUGCAAAUCAGUUUUUAAUCCUCAAUCUCUCCCAAAAUAUAUAUUUCGGUGUCUAAAAAUUCACUCACAAAACUAUAGCUGACAAAAAGUUACUAACAAAAAGUUAGGUCCAUGGGUUGUUAAAACUAUAGCUGACAAAAAGUUACUAACAAAAACAGAAUGUCCAUUUUAUAACUUUCUUAAAAAACUUUCCUUAACUUUUUUAAACAAAAAGUUAUUUCCAAUUUUUAUUUUGUUAUAAUGUUUAUAACAAAAUUCGUAGUUAACUAAACUCUUCUUAUACCCUUUCUCAACUGCCAUACCCUAACCCACUAAACCACGCUCAAUUAAGGCCAUCAGAUUCUCCGGGCCCACAUUAAUCCAACUGCUCACAGAGACCGACAGCCUCUCUAUCUCCAUUUCAAGCUCCCUCUUCAACUGGCUUCUGCUACCGUCCUACUCUUUCUCGGCUUCGGAGUCCGUAUUUGCUCGGCCUGUCCCACGAAGCUCCCUCUCACUCCAAUUGUCGCCCCACAAGACCAAUUGCUUAAUCAAGACACCGAACAAGAAAAGGAUGAGAAGUUGAAACAAGAAUUUGAGAAUUGGAAAUAAAAACGUACGCAUUGACCGUGCCUUUGAGAGUCGUUUCUCUUCAGAACUCAGUGCCUCAAUCUUGGGUUAAGGAUUUUAUGCGAAGUCAGGGAAAGAGAUUGAAGUUUCAGAUGAAUUUGUGUGCUAGCAUUGAUGGGAUCUUUAACAAUUUAUCUGUGCCCUUUAACAAAGUUAAGGCUAAGUCAGCUUCUUAUAUGGCUGCUGAUUUGGUUAGUGUUGGUGAUUCAUGGCUUAGUUUUGCCAUUAAAAAGAGAUUGAUUGAGCCAAUGGCUGGAGCUGAAGACCAAGAUUGGUUCAAAUGCUUAAGUCACAAAUGGAAGGUAACAUCUUUGUCUUUGAUCCUCGAGGUAAAAUAUGGGCGGCACCGUACAGGUGGGGCACAACGGUGAUAGCCUACAAGAAAAGUAAAUUUCG
rnacentral:lncRNA from 1 species